rnacentral:lncRNA from 1 species
UGUUUGUGUAUUUGGUUUUAUUGGGAGAUCAAAGUAGGUUUCUCAUUAGCUUUUAUUAUCACGGACAUGUAAACACUUACAAAAACCAAACUCCUUUUAGCACUCAUCACCAGUCACCAAUUCAAAUAUAUAUAUAUAUAUAUAUAUAUAUAUAUAUAUAUAUAUAUAUAUAUAUAUAUAUAUAUAUAUAUAUAUAUAUAUACAUGUAUCUAUACUUCCAAUCCACCGCAAUACAGAAAUCCCUUUAACUUGCUGUCUCUUUUUCUUUCUGUUCAUGUCCUUGCUUCCUGCUUUCUCUCCAUUCAACAAAACCAAACUUCAAACUCAGUUAGUCUAUUGAACCAAAUCAGACCCUCACAAAACCAUAUGCUCAUCAAAACCACACUCUAUCUCAUCUAUUCACUUCAUAUGACUGACUUUCAACUUCACACAAAGUAUUAUAACAUGGUUUUGUUUGACUCAACAGUCUGAUUAUCAAGACAUUUUAGGUGUCUGCGACCACAUUGUGAUCACAACUGUGACUGCAUUAAUAUAUCCACAACCUUUUUUUUUUUCACAAUAUCAAGGUGAGUUUGUGCAGCCCUUGAAGUUAUAAGGCUUUUAUGGUUUUGAUGGAGUACUUGAAGGAGGUGGAAGGAAAAAGGGUCCAUGAUUAUGUUGAGGUAAAGAUGGGUAAAAUGAGAAGAGUAGUAGGUGUGGUAGGAGCAGUGAUAGUGGGUGCUGGACCCUCAGGGCUUGCUGCAGCAGCAUGUCUUAAACAGAAAGGCAUUCCAAGCCUAAUCCUUGAAAGGGCUGAUUGCAUAGCUUCAAUGUGGGAGUUCAAGACUUAUGACCGCCUAUGCCUUCAUCUCCCUAAGCAAUUCUGCCAACUCCCUCUAAUGCCAUUCCCCCAACACCUUCCCUCUUAUCCAACAAAGCAACAAUUCUUGGCCUACUUGAAGGCCUAUGCCAACCAUUUUCACAUCAAACCAACUUUUAGCAGAACAGUGGUCAGUGCCAAUUAUGAUCACAGAUGUGGCUGUUGGAGGGUGAAGACUCAAGACUUCAAAAAGGAGGAGACAGAAUAUGUUUGUGACUGGCUCAUAGUAGCUACUGGAGAGAAUGCUGAAGAGUUUGUGCCACAAAUCCAAGGAAUGGGUGAGUUUGAAGGGCCUAUCUUACACACUAGCUCAUAUAAAAGUGGCAGUAUUUUCUGUGGUAAGAAGGUUUUAGUAGUUGGAUGUGGAAAUUCUGGGAUGGAAGUUUGCUUAGAUCUCUGCAACCACAAUGCUCUCCCGUCCCUUGUGGUUAGAGACACGGUUAGUAAAUUUCACACUUAUCAUCUAAUAACAUCCUCAACAUCUUCAUAUAUAUGCUUCCAUCACUACUACUACCUCUAGUUAAAAUAUCUUUCUAUACACUGUUAACUACAAACUACAAAGAAAUUAUGACAUAUAAUAUUAUAGUUAAAACAUCUAUCAUAAAAGUAAACCCUCAAAAUUUAUAAUCGAAGAACUCUCUACACUCCUGUUCUUACUGUGUUUGUACAUGCAUAAGAAAGCGUAUUGGGUAUUGCUAUUACAGUAAAAUACUGAUCCUCUUUAAAUUCACCUUAACCAUGUGUUCCUAUUGGAAUUGAUGUAAAACAGUGACAUGAACAGAGUCUGGUAAUAUAUUACGUGCAUAAAGGAGUUAAAUAUGACAUGAACAGAAGUAAGACCACGCCUAAAGUUUUAUAUUUGAAGUAUGCGUUAUGCUUGAAAGUAGUCUGAUGAGUUAUUGUUAGGGUAAAAUACAAGCCCCAGAUGUCAUUUUCAUUACUAGAGAACUAGUAUGGCAGAAACUGUAUCUUUGCCAAACUAAUUAUUUAUUUUUAAAAACAUGAGUGUUGAUUCUAAAUAAAGACAAGUUUCGAAAAAGGAAUUUAUCAUGGUCCUGAAUAGUUUAUUGGAAUCCUCUCGCAUGCGCGAACGUGGUCAGCAACCCAAAAUCUUUAAUUGAUAGUAUGUUGUUUUCUGUCAUGGAACCAUUUUCAGUGGUGAAGAGAAUCUCCGGAAGCAUGAAAAGAUGAUGGUCACUACUGUGGUGUCUCUAAUUUUCCUAAAAUGUUUCUUAAGCAACUUUUAAGAUUUCAAACGUCAUAUUUUGUUUUCACCACAGGUGCAUAUCUUACCUCAGCAAAUGUUCGGGAAAUCAACUUUUGGUUUGUCUAUGUGCUUGCUUAAGUGGUUCCCUGUACGCCUCGUUGAUAAAUUUUUACUUCUAAUGUCACAUCUCAUUCUUGGGGACACAGCUCAAUUUGGACUUCAUCGUCCCAAAAUUGGCCCUCUCGAGCUCAAGAACUUGUACGGCAAGACCCCAGUUUUGGAUGUUGGCACACUUGCUCACAUAAAAAGCGGAAAAAUUAAGGCUAGAUAAUCUUCUCUAUCCCAAUCAAAUCCAUAUUAUUUUAACGUAUUCUGAUUCUUGUCAUAGUCAACCAAAUUUGCCCUUUUUAAAAAUUUUGUUUCUCUUUCAUUGAUUCUCACGAUACAUAGUCUGAUAUGUAUAGGUUUGCCGCGGGAUUAAACAACUAGCACAACACAAGGUGGAGUUUGUGGAUGGAAAAACAGAGAAUUUCGAUGCAAUCAUUAUGGCGACUGGUUACAAGAGCAAUGUACCCACUUGGUUGAAGGUGCUUCCUUCAACACUUGCUAACUUAAUUUUGGCUUUUUGACAGAUUUCUUUAGUUUUGGCACUUAGAAAAUUGAAUUUUGAUUGAUGGAUUUUCACAUAGAAUAAUGGUUGUUUGAGGUAGUGAUUGAGAUUUUGAAAUGUUUGCUGUGAGCAGGGGAGUGAGAUGUUUUGUGAGAAGGAUGGAUUGCCUCGGAAAGCUUUCCCAAAUGGAUGGAAAGGUGAAAAUGGACUGUAUGCGGUGGGUUUCAGUAAUCGUGGUCUUCUUGGUGCAUCUAUUGAUGCAAAGAGGAUUGCAGAAGAUAUUGAACAUUGCUGGAAAGCUGCUAAGACCACGUAAGUGUGGUGUACGAGUUGAUGCACUUCAGGCUAUACAACAAAGCAAAAUCUUGUGUUCUUGGAUGCACCAUCCAGAAUUCCCCUUUCAAGAGAAAAUCAGUAGGAUUUUUGUAUAGUAAUAAGAGAUUCCGAUAAUAUGCACCAGUUUAUAGAUUCUAACCUAGUUGCAGUAAUUGUUUACAAGAGAUAUAAUUAAGGAAGUUUUAAAGUAUAAUCAAUCCAUUUACGGAGGGUAUCAAUACAAGUUUAUGUACACAUAUAUGUAACUUGUGUAUAUGAAUGGAUGCAGUUCUUAUAUUUAAUCACUUCAAAAACCCACGUUUUAAACAUAAAAGGAAGGUAAAAUACCUUUUUUUUUUUGUCCCAGUUUUGGUUACGAAUAUUCGAAAUAGUCCUCAUUUUAUUUUUCUGUUCAAUAUUGUCCUAAAAAACGUAAUUAUGUUCAAUUUAGUCAUUUUUCUGUUCAAUGUAAUCCUAAAGAACGUAAUUUGUGUUCAAUUUAGUCUUUUUUACAAACUCCGUAAAUCACAAAUAAGGACUAAAUUGAACAUAAAUUACGUUCUUUAGGACUACAUUGAACAUAAAAAGGACUAAAUUAAACAUAAUUACGUUUUUUAGGACUAUAUUAAACAGAAAAAUAAAAUGGAGACUAGUUUGAAUAUUUGGGACAAAAAAAAGUAUUUAACCUAAAAGGAAAGACUAAACCAAGUGUUGAGGGCAUCAAAAUCAAGAGAUUGAGGAUGAUAAAGUAAAUAUAUUGAAAAAAAUUAGGUAAGUACAUUAAAAGAUAAAAUAUCAAAGACAAGAUUAAAAAAAAAAUGAUUACUCACAAUAUCAAAAAAGGAAAAUCGAAAUAAAGUCAAAAUAGGAGUGGAAAUUAAAGAAUGAUCAAUAAAAAAAUUCAAUAUUGUCUCGAUCCUCAGAAUUAGUCAAAAAUUAGUGAAAUUUAUUGAUAAUUUGGAAUUUUUGAUAGAUUACUAGUUAUAUAAUAUCUGUCGAUAAUCAGUAAAAACUAAAUAAUAUUUUCGUUAGUAAUGAGACUAUGAUCCAUUGAUUGGUUGAGGGAUACAUUAAUAACGAAUUUUUUUUGUCGAUGUAUUUUAAACAGCUAGUGUACAUAGAUCUUUAUUCUUUACAUUCAAAUAAAACUUACGAAUAAUAUAUACACAAUACCAAGUAAAAGGAUAUGUGAUAAAUUAUUUAACUAAUAAUAUUAUAUAAUAAAAACUUUUAUACAAUAAAAAGUCCUAGUGUGAAAACUUCUUAUAUGAUAAAAAAUAACAGGAAAAACUUAUAAUAAUGAAAAUUCCUAACAAUGAAACUCCUACUAAUGAAAACUCGAUAUAAUGAAAACUAAGAUAGUUCUAGUACACUUAGAUAUAUUGUAAAUAUAUAUCGUUUCAUUACCAUUGCAUAAAAGAUUAUAAUUUAACGUCUUAAACCCAAUAAGAAUGACAUUUUCAGUUUCUAGCGUGUACUUAAUUAAAUGUUUUUCUUUUUUUUUCAAAUAAAUGUAGUAGUUUGGCUCUUGAGAAAAAAAAUAUCUUACAAUUUAAAUCUUUUAAUUUUUAGUAGAUUUACAAUUAUCAAAAUGAUCUUAAAUUUCUUUGAAAUGUUUUUUAUAAAUGUUUUGAAGCAUGUGUUAUAUGCAUUUUGAACUCAAAUUACACUAUUUUUCAUUGAACUCACAUUACAAACGCUCACCUAAUCAAGCAUCCAAAAUUUACUUCAAAAUUGUUUGAAUACAAUGAAAUGGCUUUCAUUUAAUAAGCUCCUAGUUCUACUAUAAACUUACAAAAUACACGUUUUAAAUUUGGUUUUGUUCAAACAUUAUAAUAUUUUUUGCAUGUAUUUCAAUUUAUUUAAAUAAUUCAACUUUUAUGCAAUUCAUUUUAGUACGAGUUUGUGUCAAAUUUUUAAUAACCUAAGAAGUAGAAUAGAGAUACACGAAAUUCCAAUUCAUUUCAAAUUUCUAAUACCUUGGCAAAAUACAACAUAGUUUAAAUGUGCAACUUCUUUGCUCAUACAACAACAAAUUAGCCCUGAAUGCCUUAAUUACAAUAACACACACUUACCUAUUUUAUAGUAAAUCACUAAUAAAAAUAUUACGAAAAAUUAAUAAAAAAUAACAAAGAAUUAUUAUUAAUAGAUUACAAGUCAAUCUAUCUUCAACCUACUCGAAAUGUUUAACAUGUAAAGUAAGUGAGUUAGUUGAAUUCGAUCCACUAAAAAAGUUGAAUUUUUUUACAAUCUAACUCAAAUUCAUAAUAAGUUAGGUUAACUCAAUAAAUUUGUACAUCUCUAAUAUCACCUAUAUACUUUUAGUACUAUUGUUUGUACCAAUAUUUAUGCUUCACAUAAAUAAAUAAUAUAAACAACUUAUAUUAGUAUAAAUUAAUAAAUCUUAUACUAUUUUUAGGAUAUAAAAGAUGAUAUUUAAGAAUUGAUAAUGAUUUAAAAAUAAAAAUCCAUUGUUUACUCAAUGUAAGACUUUUAAGUUUUUCCUAGUAUAUUUCUACCACUUAACAUAUAAAUUGUCCAUGUAAAAGACUUGGUAUCACUACCAAUAUAAAAUUUUAAGAUUUAAUGUAUAUAAGUUUUGUUUCUUUUGUUAUAUAUUUGUCAAACUUUCAUAUUUAUAUCUAAUAUGAUACUUACACCUUAUAUUUAAAUUAAUGAAUAAUCAUUUUUGUAAAUUUUCUUUCAAAAUAUCAUUUUGAUGUUAUGAUACAAAUACUUAAUUAUUACUUAAAAAAUUGUUCAAUCAAACUGAAAAAUCAAGAGUACCAUCACUUGGAAAGAAAGGCCACAUUGAUUUAAUGCAAAUGAUUGAGAUGUGAGGGUUGAAAAUUGAAAUCGUGCACAUGGAGGUUGUAUUCAUGAACGUUGAAUUCAAUUAUGAUCAAAGGGAUAUACAUAAGUUGGAAAUUGAAGUUGUAGUGAGAGUUUAAGAGAAGAAGAACAAUUCAAAGUUUUCGACUAGAAUGAAGGAAUUGUGUUCCAUAUUUUCUUCGUGUAUAGAUAAAAUCGUUUUAUAUAGUUGUUAGACUGAUUUUCUAUGCCUAGUUUGGUUAGUAAUUCAUUCAAACUCUGAUUUUCUGCAUAAAGUUCAGUUGCAGUUACUGUUUCUCUCUAACCUAUCUUUUCAACAUUCAUAAAUUGAUUUCGUUUAAUGCAAACUACAACGUUUAAAAAGUGAAAAUAUGAAAAACAUUUUUCUCAAUAUAAGUUUCUAUUACAGUUCAACUUCCAUGCACGUUAAUUUUAUUUUUCUUCAUAAAAUAAACUUUAAUUAGUUGCUAUGUUUUUGUUUUUCCAUGAAUAUAUAUAUAUAUAUCAAAAUAUUCUAACCAAAGACAUUUAGUUGGCAAUUUCUUUUAUUUAGAUUAAUAAUAUUUUAUGAUUUUUACCUUAUAUAAAUAUUUUUAUUUUCUAUUUUAUGAUUUAUUUUAUCGAAAAAGAAUCAAUUUCAGUACUUAAAUUUAUUAUUAUUAUUAUAAUUAAAAAUUGUACGUAUUUUUUUAUUAUUAGAAUUCUAUUGUCUCGAUUAAAAAUAUAUAAAAAUUAACUAUUUUUUGUCUAUUUUUAUAUUUUUAUGAUAAGAACUAAAUUCUAGAAGAAAAACAAACAAGUGUUAAUUGAAAAAAAAAAAUGAAAGUGGAGGUGGAAAAAUAAAUAAAGGAAAGUAGACUUAACUUUGAAAAUUACUAAUUGCAAAUAAAGUAUGUAAAAGUAAAUGGAUGUAGUAAAACUAUGUAAACAAUUUGCAUACUUAAACCAUAGAAAAGUAAGUUGAAAAAAAAUGAUAAAUUGUACAAAAAUAACUUGAAAAAUUUAAAAAUUAUCAAAAACGACAAGAUAUUUCUGAAAAGUAAAACAGCAAUGUAAUAUUUGAUUAAAAAAAAAAACAUUCCAAAGUAAACUAAGAAAAGAUCGGUGUGAUUGAGAAUAGUAAUGUAAUUUGUAACAACAAAUGAUGUGACUUUUAGUAGACAUUUUUUGAAAAUGUUAAUCAACGAUGUCCCAUAGUCCAGUUUAUCGAUUUCUCAAUGGGAGAAAUCAACCAAACUUCUCUUCUUUUCAUCCUUAUCUAUUUUCAACAUUUUAUCAAUAGAAUUUUUAUAAUUAUGUAUUAUUAGUCUUGAAAAAUUGAUGGUAUCUUUUUACCCUGCUAAAUACAUAAAUUAGUCAACAUAUUUCAAUAAAAUUCAUUAAACAUUUUUAUUUUGAAACAGUUUAAACUUAUGUUUAAUAAAUAAUAUCUAUUUAUCAUGAUCUAGUCGUUUUGUUUCUCUGACGAUAUAUAUGUAUAUGCGGUGUGCCCUAGGCUUACUAAUUAAGUACUAAUUAUAGCCUUAAUAAGUAGAUUAAUUAUUCUAGCAAGAAAUACGAUAGUGACGUGGAUAAUGAAGUGGUUUUGAUUAUGUAAGGACGGUGGAAGAAAGAAGACUCCACAGAAUGAGACGCCCAUCAAAUUAUAUUGGAAUCAAGGAUGAUUACAUUUCAAGCACUUUUAGGUCAAAAGAACAAACUUUCAAAAUAUAUACAAAUACGUGUAUAAAACAAAACGCAUGGAAUUUUCUUUAUUUUGUUUUCUUAUCCCUACAUUUUCAAUUUGAUAUGCGAGUUUAAUUUUUUUCAACGUCAUAAUUUAGUAUUUAAUAAUUUUUUCCAUUAUAAAGUUUAUAGAGAAAUGAAAUUUGUUCUUUUAAUAUUUAAAAACCAAUAGCAUUGGCAUUUAAAAUCAAGAAGAAAAAGUAUGAUUUUUCACAACAUGUAAAAAUUGAAAAUAUUUUUAUAAUAAUAUUUGAAUUAAUAAAUUACAUUUUAACAAGUAAUUGAAUAAAUACUUGUAAGAUGGUUAUAUAAAUAAUAUUAAUUAUCAAUAGUUCUAAAUGAAGAAAUUGCAAUUAAGUUUGAGAAAACUGAAAAAUAAAAACACAUUUCGUCCUAGUUUCUUUGUUCUAUCAACUUGAAUUCGGAUUUAUAUGAUGAGUAUUGACUUUUUCUUCUUUUUCAGAUUCUCUACUAAAAAUUUUUUAUGUUAUCCUAUUAUGAGUAUUAAAAAUAAACUAAUAUUGAUAUAUAAUAGUUUUUUAAAAUAUAUUUUAAAACAUCAACAAAACGGAAAGAGUAGAAAAGCUCAGCAAAUAAUCUAAAUUUCUUUCAUUACCUUAGAAAACAAUUAAUUACGAAGGGUUUGAACUCAAAAUUUACAAAGUACACAGUAAAUAAAAGGCAGCAAAAGCAAUUGUUCCUCAAACAAACAACAGUGCUCCUCGUACCUAACACCGGUAGACUGACUUAUCGCACGCCUCCACCAGUAUACAGCUGAAGCAAGAAAUAUCAAGGAUGAUGCUAGCAUGACAAUUAUUAUAUUUUAUCAUCUAACAACCAUAAAUAUUAUUAUUUUAUUAACUAGAUAUAUAUAAUAAUAAAAAAUAAUAACAUUAAUUUGUAAUUUUAAUUUGUAUUUUCUAAAAAACUGGUUUUAAUAGUGAUGACACGAUAAAUAAAUAAAAAAUUAACAGAAUAUUAGGAUAGGUUUUUAUAUCUUUUUCUAAAAAAUAACUUGAGUUUUACAAAACCAUUUAUAAGAUAAUAUUUGUCUUAAAUUUUAAUGGAUGUAGAUAUAUUUUUGUCCCUGCUGUUCCUUAAUUAAUUAGUUAAAAGGUUUAAUGAAAGCAUAUUAAUAAGCAGAGGAACACAUUGGUUCUUCCUGGGAAAUUAAGGUUGUAGUAAUGUUGAGGGAUUUUCCCCGAGACAGUGAUCUAAAAUAGUAUACAUGGUCCAGAUGGCACGUGAUAGCACAGGAAAACACCCACGACUCUGCUUUCUUAUUCUGCAGUGCAGGUAUACGCAUGCAUGGUGCACAUAUGCUCUAAAAUCUGGACCAUGUAUUUCGUAUAUGCAUACUUGCUACCUUUAAUAUCCGUGGUCCAAAAAGAUUUAUUGUAAUGACCGUAUAAUUGGCUAUUCUAUAUAUAUAUAUAUAUAUAUAUAUAUAUAUAUAUAUAUAUAUAUAUAUAUAUAUAUUAUUCUGCAGGACCAUUUCUCAUUAGUUUAGAUGAUUAUGCAACACAUCACCAAUGACAUUGAGGGUGACUUUGCCCAUUAGAUUCACUGCUACUUUGUGCUUAAGUACCUAAUUAUUGUGCGGAGGAAGACAAAACCUUCAGAGUUUCAAACUCUCAUCCCAACCUCAAGUCAGGAGAACGUGUAUGUAGGACCAUAAGAUAAGCCCUAAUAUUCUCCACUGUAUAAAAACUGAAUAAUCUAUAUCUGCAGAAUGCUUAAAUACGUGAAAACCCUUUCAUUUUUCAUUGAAAAAUAUAUAUACCAUUAUAUAUCAGAAAUAUACAAGACUUUUGUUUUUAUUUUUGUUAUGUGAUUUGAAUUAAAAGUUUGGACAAAGCAACGAAACUUUACCUAAACUGGGUCUAGUGAGUCCCUAUGCGAAGAGCAGAAAAUGGGUAGAAGAAGCAGAAAGUGAGAGAGAUUAGAAAUUGAAGUGUGAGAGGUACGGAGAAUGAGAAGCUUUGGGACGUAAGGUUGCUUUCAUGGAUGUUACACAUAAUGAUUGCUUAGAGAUGUGGCGGCUUAAGCAAUUAUAGAGAGGAAGGUUUUGUUAAUAAGAGAAGAAAAUGGAUAAUUUGUAAAAGGAAAGUGAUUAAUUAUGAUGAAAAUGGUCCAUCUGGAGAUUGUAUGCAUAAAAAUGCUGAACAGCUAAAUGGAGGAGAAGGUUAUUGGGAUGGAAACGAUGUUUGUCUGUGCUCAACUUUAUUACGUAGAUGAAAAGGGCAACUCAUGCAGGCUGGUGUGGAGUGCGUGAGAGCGUGACCAUGUGCAUGAGCAUGACGACUCAUCACUACCAUUUUUGAGAGGGAAAGAAACAAGGACGUUGCAGAGGAGAAGAGACUCGAUACUUUUUGCUAUAACACACAUCAAUUCUUUUGCACACACCUAUCAAAUAGCUUCCCACAACACCAUUCUAAAACUUUAUUUCAUCAUCAUUACUACUAUUUCACAAAUCAAAUUAUCUUUUCUAUUUCUAAAGGAAAAAAUACUCAUUCUUCUUUCUUAAACUAAAAUUACUUUAUGUCAAAAUAUCAUUCUUCUUUCUUUCUUCACACAUAACCACUCACCUAACAAAUACAAAAAUCAUAUAUUGACACAUUUCUUUUAUAACAUUUUAACAUAAUAUUUUUUUUAUUGAAUUGAAUUUAGUAGAGCUUUCAGAACGGAUAACCCGGCCCGGCCCACCACGGGUUGAUCACUUAGUGAGUCAACCCAACCCAGUUCAUUUAUUAACGAGCCAGAAAAAUUUAAACCUGACUCGACCCACUACGGGUUGGUGGGUAAAUGGGUUGGCUCACUGAUCCACUUAAUUACAUUUUUUUAAAUAAAAGAAAUUACGAUUUUUUUUUAUAAUUCAAAUCUAAACAAAUUUCACUCCCAUGUUUAAUUAAUUUUGAAAAUAGAGAACUUAAAUAAUUUUUUCAAGAAAAAAAUAAUAAAUAUUUUUUUAUAAAAUUAAAAUUAAAUUUUAAUAAAAUAAAAUUAGGUAAGUGGGUCGGUGGGCCAACCCUGUCCACCAGGAUUCAACCCGUAUGAGUCGGGUUUAAAUGAGUCGAGUUGAAAUCUGACCCGCAUAAAAAAAAUACAAUUUUUUCAAACCCGAUCCAACCGGAACCCGUGAUGGACCGGAGAUUGUGACCCAUUUUGACAGCUCUAGAAUUUAGAAUACGUAAAUACAAUAAUAAAUAAAUAAUAAAUCAAUGAAAAAACAAUACUUAUACUAAGUCAAAAUAUUAUCAUAAAGUCUAUGUCAAAAUGUUCCUGCUACUAUUAUAUUACUUAUUAAUAGAUAUAAAAUCAUAAAUAUGAACAUAUUUUCAAUAAUUUUAAAGUUCACUUCGUUCAUAAAAUAUAUUUUGCAGUAAUUUUACUUUUAUGACCAAGUUUAUUUGUAUGUCAAGUAUAUAUGAUUUCUAGUUUCAAUUAUUUUUAUGCUGUAUUUUACUAUACUAAUCCACAUUAUAUUCUUAAACAGAUUUAAAAUGCAUAGUAUAAAAUAUACUUAAGUAGAUAAUAUACAUCUUUAUUAUGUUGAUUAAUGUAAUAGCUAUAUUAUCUUUAAAAUAAUGUUAAAAACAAUAUAAAUUACGAAAUAGUUAAAUGAACCGAGUAAGAAGAUCAAACAAGAAGAUUCAAUAAAAUAUUUUAAGUAUAAAAAGAUAAAAUCUAUAAAUUUAUUAUUUUAAAAUAAUAUCUUAAAUAAUAUCUGCAAAAACACUGCAACCAAAUACUAUUCGGUUAAAUGAUGUUUUUAGCAAGUAAAAGUUAUAAAAUAACUCAAAAAUGUUUGUAAAACAUUGUCUUUUAUACUUGAUUUAAGAUUAAACUUGUAUAGGGAUAUAUAGCUAAAAUCGUGUAAACCUGAUUCCUUUGACUAUAUAUUUUAAUAGAUUCUAAAAAGAGAUUAUAUAAUUACCACAAUAAUUUAUAAAACUUAAUUAAUUUGCAUGAUGAUAUUUUUUUCCCGCUUCUUUUUAUUGAAGUUUUUCUUAAAAAAAAAAAUCUUUAAAUUGACUGUUUGUGAUUAAUAUUUUUUACAUUGUGAACAAAUUCAUCUAAUGAAAUAAUUAGGAGUAACUUACAUAGUGUAAAAAAUGUCAUAAAUAAUAUAUCGACUAAGAAUAUAAAGCUAUUUACUUUGUUUUUAGAGGAAAAACUAACUUUUGUCUGUUUGUUUGUUAUUAGAUAAGUUGCCCAAUGUCUUUUAUUCUUGGAUUUCCACAGGGGUUAAUUAAGCUUCCAAGAAUGAAUAAUUAUAAUAAUAAUAAAGGUCCUUUUUUUAACACUAGUUUUAUUUAUUUUUUAUUUCUUUAAAUAAUUCUUUUGUUUAAAAUUAAAAUACCUUAUCAAUUUUAUCCUUUACAUACCAUUCUUUUAAAUUUAACUUUUUAUUUUAUCCCUAUUUUAAAUUUAACUAUUUUUUAAGCUAAAACAAUCAUCUAUAAUAAAAAAAAUUACUUUCAAAAUAAACAAAAAUGAUCUAAAAUAAAAUUGUAAAAAUUAUUUCUAUUUACUUUAUAAUUAUACUAAUAAUAAUUUUACUAUUUUAACAUAGAAAAGUAAAGAUAUAUACGCGUAGCACAUACUAGUAAUAAUAAUAAUAAUAAUAAUAACAGUACAACAAUAUAGGUUACAAUUAAUGAAAGAAAAACUCCUCUUCUAUUAAUAGAUUAAUUAGAAUUUAAUGUAUAAUAAUUUGAAAACAGUCGUGAGAGUUAUUAAAACACGGAUGAUAUAAAAGUUAUCUUUUGGAAUGAAAGGUGAAUUAAUAGAUUGGAAGAUUUUAUUUUAUUAUAUGAGUAAUAAUUAAAUAAAUAAAGAAAAUAGACAUUAGAAAUAUUAAAAAAAAAUGUAUUUAUAUAAUUGUAUAGGAGGAUCGAGUUCCGAUGAAAUAGUUGUGUAUUUGUAACUUUCUGCGAUUGGGUGUACUUACCAAAUAUAAAACACUGGGAUCUUUCUCUUGAAGAGGGUGAUGGUAGGUUUACAUGGACCACCACUUUCAAUUUCUAAUCUUCAAUCAUUCCUCUCUCCACAUGUUCCGGAUUCCAAACCAAACAUGUUACAAUUAAUUUCCACUUUCGUGAACUCUCUCUUUCUCUCUAUACCUCCAUCACCAACAAAACCUUCAUUUCUCAUUAUCCUUCAUUACAAAACCUUUCACCAUUUAAGAACUAUAUUACACUAGACUAGACUAGAGAGGACAAAAACAAAACAAAACAUUCAUCCAACGUAAAACCUAAUUAACUUUCCUAGGAAUAUAUAACCUAUAUAUACCUCUAGCUAUAUGCAAUGUCACACAUCUUUGUCAAAUCGGUUACCUGCAAUCAAGAUAACAUUUCAGAAUAGGGUUAAGUAGUUAAUUUCACCCAUCACAAUUCAACAUCCAUAGGUGUUUCGGCAUGAUUUUCACAAUUUAGUCCAAUCUCUUUUCUCAAUUUGAUUUCUCUUUUUCUUAUAUCUUAUGAAGUAGAUUUUGAAUCCAAGCACUAUAUAUCUGUUAUAAAUAUUCCGAGAUUUAAAUUAGUUUUCAAUUAUCGAUUUAGUUAUCAUAGUAAAUGUCCAAUAAUAUAUAAUUAUUUAUCUUUUUACUUUAUAUCUAUAUUUAUGAAUUUUAAAGUGGAUUUUUAAUUAGAACUGAUCGAAUUACAAUCUAAUAUCAUUUAAGUAUAUUUUUAUCUUGUUAAUAAAAAAAUGAGAUUUUCAUACGAAACAGUCCAAAAUUGAGUAUUCGACCGUCCAGUUAACCUAGUUGUAGGUUUUUUUUUUCUGGAGUUUAUUUCUUACAUGGUUGACCAAUCGAUAUACAUAAGCGUCGGUCCAUACAGUAUAAUAAGCCCACAACAUUGUGCUUGUGUAAUAAAAAGGGUAGGUAGGCAGACAUACUUUUCAAUAGAUGAAAUAGAAGGAACAAUUCAUCAUCUUAGCCUUUAUAUUUUAAUGUUAUUGUAGUACUGUCUGUCUGUAGUAUAUAGCAAUAAGAGAUAUCUACAAACUAUAUAUACCUUAAUAUUGACAUGCAAAUAUUAUGCAUCAUUAACUGGUCUGAAACAUAGCACAAAUAUCUGAGGUAAGUUAUUCAAAGCAGAAAACGUAUUCAAAAUGAUCAUGGAUUAAAACAUAAAAAAGGAUGAGGCUUAGGUGUUCCACUUUAGCAUAACAGGGCUAGUUGAGAGAGACGUGAGAGAAACAAUGGGUUUCCCCAAUGGACAAUGAUAUUUUGACAAUAUUUUUUGACAACUCUUUUUACAACAAGACACGUGUCAUCAUUUUAUUCGUUUAUUUGAAUUUAUAUUUAAAAAAUAUUUAAAACAGACCAAUCACAAUCUAUCACGUAUGCGUUGUCAAAAAAUUGUUAAAAAAAAUUUUUUGCUUCCUGAAUUUCCAUGGCAGUGUUUGAAAGAGGAGAGUGGAAUGUCAAUGAAUAGCAGAAAUUGAAGUGUUGUGAGAGCAUAUGCAUACACAUGCAACACACACCCAAAAUAAUAUCAAAUAAAUGUAAAAUAUUUAUAUACUCAAAAUAUUGUUUCUCAUUUAUAAUAAGCGAAACCAAAAACAAUUAAUUGAGAAAGAGUUUUUGACAAACACCAAUAUAAGUCAUGUUAAUUUCUAUAUAAACCAUGACUAUUUUCAAUAAAUCUUGUAAAAUUUAGCAUUGGUGAUUUGAGAAUCAAAUGGUUUCAAAAGCCUACAAGCAGUAGUAUUAACAUGUUUUCAUAAUAUAAAUGAUUUUGAAAUAAUAUGAUUUUCCUUUUCAAAUUAUAAUACACAAUUUUAAAUAUCCAUGAGCAUUGUAAGUAGAAUAAUGCAAUGCACAUGGGCAUUCUGUAUGGUAGUGCAUUUUUGGGUGGUAAAUGUUUUGGAUUUUGGGCCUGUCAACAAUUUUCUGCUUUCAAAAAAGAAUGACAGAGUUAGGGCUCAUGGCAUUGGGCAGAAAAUGAAGCGUGCUAGGUAAACUGAAUGGGCUAAGACUACUUUUUUUUUUCUAUAUAAAAACAAAUUAAAAUUUGUAGUAAAUAUAAAUUAACAAAAUAAUGUAAUAACCAGGUCAUAAUAGGCACUUCAUCUGCUUAAGUUUAAGUACCGAAACACAAACUUUUAUUUUUGCUCUUUUUUUUUUUUUUUUACUUAUACGUUCUAAUUUAUUUUUAAUAUUUAAGCCUUCUAGAAUGACUUCGUAUUUGUAUCGAUUAAAUUCUUUUGGACAUUGAACCCUUUAUAUUAACUUAUGAUUUCAAUUAGGAUAUUUUGAGAAAAUUCAUUACAAAUCUUGAAGUAUUUUUUCAAUACUUUUUGAAUGUUUUAAAGUUUAAUUUUUGGAAUAUUAAUGCUUAAAGAAUAUAUUUUGAACUUAGCUAAUAAAAUUGUUAAAUACGUUUCAAAGAACAUAUCUUAUACUAAUAAAUGAAAAUUAAAUCAAGAAAUUAUGUUUUUAAGCUAUAAAAAUUGUAGAACAAACUUAUAAAUAAAAAAAAUGGGAAAGAUUUACUGUCAUCAUUCUAUUGGACCCAUUUUAAGUCUUAAAAGGUCCGUCCAUGGCGGGAGUAGAUCUUGUCAAGGUAAUUUCUUCUUCCUGCAUCUCCAUAUUUUAUCCAUCUACUUCCAUAGAUGUAAUGAAAUUAUUAUUUUAUCCUUAAUACUAUUUUUUUAAAAUACACUGUGAAUUAUGUAAUUCGAAAUUGUUUUGAAUUAUACAUCCAAAAUACAUUUUAAAAUAAUACAUUCUUAAUUAUAUAAUAUGAAAUAUAUUUUAUGCGUUGUAGACUGUAUAAUCUAAAUAUAUUAAUAUAUAAUAUAUUUUGGACUACACACUAUAAUAUCGUAGGAUCAUAAUCGGAAAGUUAAUGAUCGUGGAAAGUGCACGACUAAAGAACAGUCAACGAUGAAUGAUAAUCAAAAUUUUGUUUAUUGAGAAAAAUAAAAAUACGUAAAUUAGAAAAAAAAAAAAAAAAACUCCGUUUCUAUGUUUUAUCAAUCCAGACAAUGAUAUUUUAUUUCAUUUCUUACUAAAUCUAAAAGUUAUAGCAAUAGAACAAGACUUCACAGGAUUUUCUAUAUUAAUUUAACAAAAAAAAAAGUAGCACCUAAUGGCUAGCUACCAUAAUAAUUUUAUAGCAACUUGCGUUAUAAUAAUUUAAAAACAUGCCCAGAAAAUGUUUAUUUCUUUUGAUUUUAAAUUGAAUAAAUAUACACAAUAUAACAUUUAAUAAGCAUAAGAACACUCACUGGGUAGAAUAAAUACUUGAUUUUAUUUCUUUUACCUUAAUUCUUAUACCCAAGAAUAACUUUUUUCUGUAAUCAUAUCAUUUACUGCCUUGAUUUUAUUUUCUUAUCAUUCAGAUGUCUUUACCUCAACCUUUUUGCCAGUGGCUUUAGCUGUAAAAAGAAAUAAAUUUUAUUAGAUAAUUUUAAACAGUUUGUAUUGUAAUAUUUUUUUAGAAAACAUACAAUUGAGUAGUAUAACUUUUGUUUGUAAAUUAUAAAAUAAAAUUUGAUUACUCCAAACUCUUAAUAAUUUUAAAUCACCUAAUUGUUUUUAAAUAAAAGGCAUACAUAAAGAGGAGAAAGAAAGCAAAAGAAAAAGGUUUAUGGCUUUCCACAAGGGACCCAAGUAACUUCUGUUUCCGUAAAUUGAGCUAAUAAAAAGUGUUCUUAACAUUGAAAUAUAAAUAUCUUUUUUUUCUCUUUAAGAAACACAGCAAUUUUCAAAACGAAUUUUCAUAUGAUAUUGAUCCUUUGAUGAUUGAUCAACGAAAUAGAUAUUGAACAACAACAACAGUUAUUUUGAAUUUUAGAAGCAAACGAAAUCAUCCAUGGCAUCCAUGGACAGAAACAUUAAAGAACAAGACAAAAGUCAUGGAAUCUAAGACUCACUACUACGAGUACGAGGUGUAACAACAAGACCACCAUUGAACUCAGAGUACAUUUCCAUGAAGAAUUUAUCCACAAUUUCAAGAUACAUGGGACAAGUGAUUCUAGAAUAGUAAUGAAGAACCUCCUCGAUGUCAAGUACAUAAUCCACAUCACUCAUCUCCAACAUCUCCAUUUCUCUAAGCUUCUUUUCCACCAUGCAAUAAUUUCCAUUUCCCCUCCUACCCUUCAUCGAAUUCAACGAUGAAUCGUUCUUUUUCUUCUCACAUUGCUCUCUUUUCUCAGUCUCAUCAUUCAUCUUCUGUUCAUCAUGCCUUGCAUUGUUCAACGCAACCUCUUUGCCUUUUUUCUUGCUUCUUUGCCUGCCCUUCUCCUUUCCUGAAUCCCAUUGCUUGGUGAAGUCACUGUAGAACUUUUCUAAGUCUUUGUAAGAUGGGUUGUUAUUGUCCAUGCCCAAGAAAUGAUUUUGUGGAGGUGUCUUGGGAAGCUUCUGGUAUCCGGGAGAGAAACAAGACUUGAAGUUCUCAAGAGUGUUGUGCAAGAACUUGAUGGUGUUGGAAAUGGAGCUUCCUAGCUGCAUUGCUGACGUGAUGACAGUGGCAGUUAUAGUAAUGAUUUUUUGUGAGUAAGAUUUGAUGAUGUUGUGUACUUUGGUGCAUGAAAGGAAACAGAAGAAAAUAUAUGUAGCUGUGUGAAUGAAUGAUCUGAGUGAAUUUUCUUUAUAAGAUGAUAUAUAGAAGAAGGGGAGCCAUGAAAGGUUCUUCAGCUUUUUGUUUUGAAAUAUGAAUGCAAUUCUCCUUUCUGGCAUCGGCUUCCUUUGCUUUUUGAGUCCUUUGUCUUCACACGCUCCCUUUAUUGCCCUUGUUUACUUUCUGCUUCCUACAGGGCCCCACAACCCUCACAAACCCUAAAUUAUUUUUUCUAUUUGGAAUAUAGUCACUCGUUUUCAUCAUAAACAUGUUUUUUCUUUUUUUUUUAAGUUUUGUAGCUUUUGCUUUUGAUGAAAGGAGCGUGUUGUUGUUGACUUCUGUGCCUCUCAAACAAUUCUGUCUUAUAUUUUAUAGCAGCUUUUCUCCUAAUCAGUUAUUAUCACUCUCACGUUAAUGGGCAAAUUUACUGUGUUGGAAGGGUUAAUUUAUUGUACGAAGAAUUGUUUAGCUGAUGUUAAGUUCAAUGACAAAGGCACACUACUAAAGAAAUCAUAUGCUGACAUUUUUUAAUCUCAGACUAAGGUUUAUUAUUGUCUCUUUCAAUUUGGAAUUCAGUCUUUUUAAUCUUUUAACUUCUAUGCUUUGUAUUUUCCCACUAUAGACUUUCAAACUAAUUUCUUUCCUUAUUUUGAGAUUGAACAUGUUUAAUUUAAUUUGUAUGAGUUAAAUAAUGAUUUCAAUUUAGAACAUUGCUUCCAAUUAUAAAAAAGUUUGAAGGACUCAUGAAUAAGACUUUUCUUUUAAAAGUUGAAUGCAAUAGUGACAAUUGCUUUCCAUCUGAACAAUAGUUUAGAGUGAAAAAAGUCUGCAUAUGCAUGAAAACAUCACUCAAAGGUUUUAAUAAUUUGAUCAUGUACUAAAAAUGUUAUUAAUUCGGUUUUAAAAACUAAACUAUAAAACAAUAUAUUUAAAUUUUUAAAAGCAGAGUCAUGUUUCAGAUAUAAUCGGAGACGAGAAAGAAAUAGAAAAGCAUGAUACUAUUCUCCUAUAUUUAAUUAAACUAAAAAUGUGAUCGGUUUUAAAAACUAAACUAUAAAAUAAUAUAUUUAAAUUUUUAGUAAAAAUGAAUUAAUUUUUUUAAUAUUAUACAAUACAGUAACUAUAGUUCAGAUUAGUUUUUUUUCCGAUCCUAAAUAUAGUAUCACACCAUACACAAAAAUUGAUAUUGUGAAUAGAUAAUAAAUACAAAAUGAUUUACAAGAGAUAAUUAAAAUAGUAAUCUAUAACUAAUGUAACACACAAUAUAUAAAAAUUGAUUUUGUGAAUAGAUAUUAAAUACAAAAGUGACGUACAAUAAAUAAUAAUGUAUAACUAAUGUAAUAUCACAUAAUACAUUACUUUUGUGAUACUUGUUACAUAAAUAUUUUCACAUUAUAUUUGUGCACAUUAUAGUCUUAGGAUUUUUUUUCUUUUCACAUUUUAUUUGGUCUACUUGCUAUCAAAGGAUGUUCGUGACUACGAAAAGAAAUUUUCCCCCAAUUGCGCCGUUGGAUCAAAGUCUUUACCAUUGAUACUGACGUCAGUGGUUUUUAAUUCUGUAACUUAGUAUUAGAAUCUCCAAUUUCUAUGUAGGAUUAGAAAGUCUUUUUAGGAUGGUUUUGCUUCAUCAAUAUAUGUCAUUUUCUGGGUGACGUGACUGUAUUACUUUCAUAAUUGUUUUUUUGUAUAUGUUAAGUAAAAAAAAGCUAUGAACAUACCUAAUAUAUAUUAGAUAUGUAAUCAAUCAUUUAAAAAUUAAUUUUAUGUGUAUUUAAUUUUCUUUUUUAAUGUCCGUGUUCUUAUUAACAAAAUGAAAAUUUGAUUGAUAGGUUUAUAGGAGAAAAUAGAUACAGAAAGCACAGGAGUAACAACAAUAAUAUUAAAAUUGUUACCAACCUUCUUAAAAUGAUAGUUUUGCAGAUAAUUAAAGUACAUUAAUUUUGAGUAAGAUUAACAUGUCUUACCAUUUUAAGAGUCGAUUAUACAAAUGUUAUAGUUCAUUGUUGCACAACAAAAUCUAUCUUUCUUGUUAUUUAAAUUGUAUGUAUAUUAUGUGUGAAAGCAAUAAGAGACAGGAAAAUAUGGGUUCAGCAAAGGUGCAGAGUUAGUUACUGGUUGGUGGUGCCCUUAUUGAAGCCAAAGGCAGUGUUUUGAUCAGUUCUCUUUUGUCAUCUUCUCCCAGAGUCCAGAUAGUCAUUAUAUAACAUAGAGAUACAACCCUGCACCACUCUGACCAUACCCCUUCUCUUUUUCUGCCUUCCAGAACCACACCUUCUCAACAACCCCAAAAACUUCAAAUUUUUUUAAACUUCUCCUUUUACACAUUUUCGUAUCAAUUUCAAUUGGCUUACAAUAUUGCUCAAUUCUAUCAACAUUACACCAAGAGUCUCCAAAUAUGAGGGACCAACAAAUUUUAGCUGUAGUACUUUUGAAAGAGAGUGAGGAGGGUAUUUAUUUAUUUAUUUCUCUGAAGAUUUUACGGGAGCUAUGUUACAUGUACAAUCACUGUUUUUAGUGAAUCACGCUAGUGAAAAUAGGUCAGAGUAGUACGUAAAGUACAUAAUUCAAAACUUAUAUAACAAUAUAAGAAGACUAUAUAGUAUUUAUAUAGUAUUUGGCAUUGUGAUUCUUUUGAUGCAAUAUGAAAAACUAUGAAAAGUGACUGACAUCUAGUGAGAAAAUGGUUGGUUGGUUUCAAAUAUUUGGUUUAUUAGAGAAUGUUAUAAACGCCAUACCCGUGAACAGAUAGAAUGAUUUUUGAAAUUGUUGAGUCCAAAAAUUUGAAGUAGUGAGUAAGAACAUAGAAGGACAGUGACAAGAAUGUUUGAGGUAGCCCAAAGGCAAGAUAGGGAUUAAACGACAAAGAGUAUAGAAAGAGGUAGGGCAGCCCAAUUAUGCUGCGAAGAGGCCCAUGUUCAGAAACCGACACCCAAUGCAGCUGAUUAAUUGGCCCUUUUUACGGCCAAAAAUUAAUUGCACAUAUUUGGUUUUGUGCAUUGACAAGGAGAUUUGGGGCUCAAGAACCCAAAAAAUGCGAUCAUUAAUGAGCAUAGCAUAGCAACCAAACCAAGGCAUAAUGGAUUCACCACUACCGGACAUUCUUUAAUCUGCUUUCCAUUUGAGGCAAAUGGACACAAACCCAUCCCUAUGCUCAUUGCCAAUGCCACCUAAAUAAAUCAGACCUCCUAGAUUGCCACAAAAAACAAACAAAACAACCUUCAUUUCUUCAUUUUUCUUUACAAAAAACAUACUUCACCCUUUUGCUUCAUUUUUGUUUUCUCUCAUGUGUGACAUGUUUUACAUAGCUAUUACCAUAGGUUGGAGUAAUUGGGCAAUGAUAGCAUUAAGUAGAGUAGAAGGUGCAGUGCCCACAACUAAUUGAAAGAUAGAAACGUUUUGGUUUUAUAUUAUUCUUUCUGCAAACCCUCAUAACAGUUUUGCCCCAGACUUUCUCAUUCCACUGUGCCUUCUCUUUCGUUUCAGUUUUUAAGCUGCUACACCCAUUCUCUUGACACCGACGUUACGCCCCCAAAUUGAUCUUUCACCUUCAAAUCACAGUAUAAUGGAAUGGGAAGUGUACGUAUCCAUCCUCUGACAAACACAUGACCAAUCCUCUUUCCCUUUCUCCAAUUCUUUCUUUUUUCUUCUUUUUUUUCUACAACAAAUCAUUUUUUUUAUUUUCCACUUCUUUCUAAAUUAUACUAAACUUUAACUUUUAUUUUCCAUUACUUUCUUCAAGCUGCAGUCCUUAGUCCCAUCAUGACCCAAACAUAUCUUUGCCUGUCAUUGAUAUAUCUACAUGAACAGCCCAAGAUCCUUCCUUACAACAAUUAUUUUCAGAUCUCUCAAGUUUUAACUAUAUAGUCAAGACAAACGACAUGAUCUCCGUCUGAGACAGUGUUUCAUGUUAAAGGGCUGUGUGUUUGUUCUGUCCUGUCUUGCUUGCUCAAACCAAUACAAUUCGGUCCAUAACAAUGCAUUCAUACACAUGAAUUUGGUUAAUGAUACAAACUUCUAAUGUUUUCACCUAACAAUUAUACAUCUUGUCUCUUCUGUAGGUGUACCGAUCCCCUACAAAAUCGACAGAUUUUUGUGUUCCCUUUCUCAUUAUUUUUGAAUGACAAAUUCUGUACAAUUUUUUUAUGUAAAUAAAAGAGAGAUUGAACGGAAAAAACAAAAAUGAGAUGAGAUAGAUUAUACCACGGAGAAAGAUAAAAGGAAAAAAAAAGAUACAAAAUGUCAUAAAAUAUGUAUUGUAAGAACAAUUUUUUUUUUCACUUGAUGCUUUGAAGGAUUCCUAAAUUAUGUUGUCCUUGCAUGGUGACAAAUUCAUUACUAAAUUAUUGAACAAGUGCUUCUUUUUUCUUUGACCAGGUGAUAUGUAGGACAUUUGAAAAGAAUUGAAGGAACGUUUUUUGCGGCCAUAGACAUAUAACUUUUUGUCAUGAAACUAGGACAAAUAAAAUUGCUGUUCAGCCAUAUCUGCAUCUUGGUCUACAAUAGUUCAUAAUUCUUAAUUAGAAACACAUGAUGUUCAAACAAGAAAAGGGGAUCUAGAAAUAUUUGCAUCAUGUGAGUCCCCUUUAUGUUUCUGCCGUAUAUAUUGUAGAUUACAAUCAACAUAGCCAAUAUUGUAGAAUAGAUAAGUAUUCUUUUAAUGUUUGAAUAUAUUCAAUUAACUUCAGUGUUAAGCAGAUGAGGUGUGGUUACUUUUUGCUACUAUAUUAUGUUUAGCUUUAUAACUAAGAUGAAUUAACUAUCCCUUUUUAAAUACAACAGGUGUGUUGGAAUCUCUUGUGUGGUCACAACUCACAUAAAAGUUUAUCUAUGGAGUAUCUUGUUGACUUAAUCCAAUGCAGAUUUCACUCACUCCGUGAACUCUCAUCACAUGUGGAACUUUUUGUUUUGCUAAUGAUAACUCCUAAUUCCAUUGGAAAGAGGAUAGUAUCUCUUCCUUUUCUCCCAUGUAAGUAUCAUGGAGGGGACUUUUACUCACUUUAGAAUACAAUACAAGAUAGUCUUUUUGUGCUCUUUUGGCGCAUCCAGAUGAAAAGAAUUUGAAAAAGGUCCAAUUCAAUAACACGGGAGAGUGAGACAGCUUUGCUUUUGUGCUUUCAAUUCAAGCACUUUCUUUGCCCCAUCCAAAUAAAAAAAAGCACCCCAUCGCAUCACCAUUUCUUUCAAGCUCCAGGCUCACAAGUCCAAACCUAGAGGAGAGGAAGAAUUCAUCCAUCGCCCCUUGUUUUCCAAUUUCCAUUUUGCAGUCUUUUCCACACCCAAAAACAAGACAAGUGCCCUUUUUUAGGUCUUUUCACAAUCUCACCACUUCCUUUGCUACCACAGUUCCAUAAUUGUCAGUAUAUCCAUCCACACACGAACUCCCCAUUCUUUAACAACUACAACCAACCAACAUAUUCUCUCUAUGUCUUUAAUUUUGUGAUCAAGGCUUGGUUUUCCCAUAAACAAUGCUAGUAUAUUGAAAGAUGUAUCCCCCUGACUUGAGUAAAUGUUAGAUUUUAAUAACAUUUGAAGAGAUUAACUUCCAACAUUCCAACAGAUAGAAAAGAAUCUUGAACAGUAGCAACAAAGAUAAGAAAAUUAGAUGUCAUACGAAAAGGGUUCAGUAAUUAAACUGAGUGGCAGGCAGAAGAUGGAAUAUCAUUUCAUAUCAUACAUGCAAAGCGAGUUAGAAGGACUGAACUAAUUAAAUUUCCUUGGAAACUAACUAACACAAAUAACAGAGAGAAAGAAGACAAGAUAGAGGUUAUUUUCUUUCUCCCUCCUAUUUAUUGUUUUACUGAUAUCAAAACCAGUCAGAGAACAAAGCCUCCCAAAUCUCGGUGAAGACUUGGACAAUGAUCUUAUGAUGAUGAUACGAAUUCAGAGACAGAAAACACUGCAAGAGAUUCUCCAAAUCCGCUGGCGAAAAUAUCUGCUUCUCCACGAUCAUCUCCAGCAUCGAAGUCCUGAAAUCACUGUAAGGAUCGCUCGAGCGCUUCACCACCGCGAACGUGUCCUUCACCUUCCCGUGCAGCGGCAGAACACCCAUGUCGGAGCUCCGGUCACUUUUCCGGCCACGGCGCCGGGACCUGGAGGAGUCGGAGGAGAGGCUCUUGGAGGAGAAAAGGGUGUCAGUUUCAUCGUCUUCGUCGCUGCUGUACCACCAGUAGCCACCAAAGUUGGUGUCUUUGGAGCAUGAAUUGAAAGGGAAAAAGUCCCUUCUCUUCUGGGCACGUCUCUUCUUCUUCUUCUUUUUCUUGGUAUUAACGUUUUUUGUAGAAGAUGAAGUGUUGUUUUUGUCGUGGAAAAUGAAAUCGUGGUCUUGGAUUGUGUUAAGGGAAAGUUUGGGAGAAGUAGGGGGACACGACAUGACACCGAGGUUAAGCUUGAGGUUGUUGGAGGUGGCAGUGGUGGUGUUGGCCCAGAGAAAAGGUGAUGAAAAAUGUGAGAUUUUGCGUCUAGAGAGAGAAUGAGAAUCGUCAAAAGAGAGUAUGCAAGUGUCAUUGAUUGUUUUGGACCUACAAGUGGGAGCAAAGGGUGUGGUUUUGGGAGAAGGUGGGUCAAUGGAGGUGGGUGGUGCAAAAACUGCUUUUUCCAUCACAUCGGCUAUGUGUCUUGUUCGACAGGAACCGAAGGAGGAUCUGAACAUGCGAGAGAUUCUGAGCUUGAGACCGGUUUGGUUUUCCAUGGCCAAAGACAAUGUUAGAUGAGAGAGAAGUUUGAAGGAGAGAGUAGAGAGGGAGUGUAUAAAUGCAUGAAGUGUGGAAGAGAAGAGGGAGUUAUUUAUUAAUAAUGAUUUGAAAUGCGAGAAAUUUAAUUGAUUAAUAAAUAAAUAAAUAAAAUAAUAAAGGACAGAAAUGCUACUUUAUGCUUUGUCCUUAGUGUGACAGAGAGUGGAUGAAUGAGAGAAUUUGAGUUUAGUUUAAUAAAUACUUGUAACAGUUGUAAUUGACCUUAGACCUUCAUGUAUGUACCCACUUUCCCUUUCCAAAAUAUGCCAAUAACAUAACAAUACAACAAAUUCUAAUUAAAAUACCUACAUCAUAUGUAAAUUAAUUAAGAUUUUACUAUACUUUAUUUUUACUGAUAAAGAAUCUUGGAGAAGAAGCUGAAGUAUUACCAUAGCAGUGGAAAUGGUUGAAACUCUGAAAAGGAUAGAAAGCUUGGUAGAUACGUAGGAACAGAAGGGCAUGGGUAGGCUUACUGGAGAAGAGUAAAAAUUUUAUGACCUGCAUUUCACCAUGCAUGCUUCUCUUUCUCUUUCUUUUUCUUUUUCCUUCUUCCACAAGUUGAGAAGAUAAGGGACUCCAUUAUUCUCCCACAAGCUAAGCUUCCAACAACUUCGAAUAUUACAAACAAAAAAAUAACAAUUAGUCUUUUUUGUUAAAAAUAUAAAUUAAAGUAUUAUAUUAAUGUUUCUUGGAAACAAAACUAAAUUAUUCUCUAAUUAGGUAAUUAUGAGUUUUAUAUUGAUUUCUUUUGCUACAUUAUUUAAAACUGUAUUAUAAAAUAUAUUAAAGUUUGAUAAUUUGUUACACAUAAAUAUUAUUUCAUUUUUAUAAAUUACGAUUAAUGCAUACAAAAAACCAAGUUAUUAGAAAUUAAUAAAAUUGUUUACGGCAUGUGAACUUGAUUAUGCAAUAAAUUUUUGUUUAAAUAUAUAUAAUAUAGCAUAAAAUUGGUUUCCGAUUUGGUUUGGUGUCUAAAAUUAGCUUUGAGACAAAAUCUUGAAGGACAGUGAUACGUUGAUAUUUUAUCAAAUUUUUUUUACAUCUAUUAUUAUUUUAUUGAUUUAUAUAUUUAAAACAGACUAUUAAUUAACUGUUACAUAUAUGAUUGUAAAAAAUUAUCAAAAAAAAAUUAUUAAACAUAUAUUUUCCAUAAUGAUACACGGAGAAUGUAAAUUAUCCUCUUUCUACAUUCAAUAAGAAAAUUGCACUUUUUAUACGGUAUUAUUGAUAUAUAUUAUUUAGAAAUAUAUUAAAAUUGAUGAUAGACAUUUAUAAUUUUCAGACGUUAUAAAAUUUUGCGGUUUUAUUUUCAACAAAAUAAAUAAAAAUAUAAACUAGUAUAAUAUAUUUUUAUUUGAGAUUAAAAAUGUAUUUUUAAUCUUAUUAAUACUUUUGAAAUGUACAAGAAUAAGUAUGUACAAACCCAGUCGAAGAAAAAGGUCACGUGAAAAAAACAAUAAAAUAAAGAUUGACUAAUAAGAAAAUAGUUACGGUGUAGAUGAUUUCCUAAUUAAAUAAAAAUAAAUUAAAAAUGCGACGUCAUCAUUAAUUUAUCUUUAUCCCAUGGUGGGACUUUUACCUUUACAUGCAUUUUUAAAAUUGGAGGUUAAUAUUUUGAUAAUUUUUUAAUAAUUAUAAUAAUAUAUAUAUAUAUAUAUAUAUCAUUAUUUUAUUAUUUAUUUGAAUUUAUAUUUAAAAAAUAUUUAAAACGAAGUAGUAACAUAACAUAUAUCUCAUAAAAAUAUUAUUAAAAAGUGUCUUGGAAAGAAUUUUUUUCGUAGAAUUAUUAUCUUUUUUCUCAAAAACCACUUUUAUGCUUAUCAUGCUCUGGUUUUCUCUCUAGGAUGGAGUAUGACUUUGUUUUUUUAUUUUUUCAUCCCUCGUAUCCAUCAUCUAAAAAGGAAGGAUGAAUGAAGAUUUUCCACUUUUAUCAUUUUUUUCUAACUAUAUUUAUUUUAUAAACUAAUAAUGGUUUCUUCUGUAUAAAUGGACUGAUUUAACGACAAUUUUAAACAUCAUUUUACUUAAAUUAAUUUUUAAAAUAAAGUAAACGUUGAACAAAGUUUGGAAUUUUUUUUAAAAUUCAUAAAUUUGCUCUGUCAAACUUUUGAGGAUCAUAUCUACAUUAAGUAGUCAUAAAUUACUGUUUAGUAUUAAAAGAUGUAAAGUUUUCUAAUUAAAAUUUAUAUAUGCCUCAUUCAUUCUUUAUGCAUUGAUCAAAUAUUUGAAUCUCAACAUAUAUUGUUCUAUUGUUUUUGAAAACCAUAAUCUGAUUGCAAUUGAUGGGAGGUGCAAUUCUUGAAGGUGAAUUAGGGUAAGUAUAUUUCAUUCUCCCACUUAGGGUUUAAGCAACCUGUUUCCAUGUUUGUACCAGAUUGAGGAUAAAUGAUUAUCCUGACAAUUAAUUAAGCAACCUGUUUCCAUGUUUUUAUGACAUGAAGCAUAUGAUGUGCUGGUUUUAGAGACCUUUCCAAGCAUAAUGUUUAUGUUGUUUCUGAUAAUAGUUCUUUCCAGCUCAAAACAUAUGACCACUAAUAUGGUCUGUCUUGCUAAACAUUUGCAGUAGCUGUUGUUGCUGCUUCUGGUGAUCCAUCUGCUGCAGUAAAGAAGGAAGAACUAGUUGAAGAAUCAUGGUUUCAGUCUGUUUGACUAAAUUAUGAAUGCUUAUUGAGGUUGUUUUCCAAGUUUUUUCAUAACCGAUGAAGCUUCCUUGAUUUUAGGUGUUGUAUUAAUUUAAUUUUUUUUUCCUAUUCAUGUUAUAUUUUUACUAGAUCAUUUUCAAGAUCUAAAAGAUAUGGGGAUAACAGAAGAGUUUUGGUGAAAAAUAUAUUCCUUUCUUAUUUACAAUUAUAAAAGAAAAAAAAAAUCAAUACAUUAUUUUGUGAUAUUUUUUCAUCUACUAUAUUAAUUUGGUAUAUAUUUUAUAAAUUUUAAAACUUAAUAAAUAAAUUUAAUAUUAUAUUGUUAAAUUAUAUAAUAUGUGUGAUUCUGUGGUUUCUUCAAAUAAAAAUGAAAGAUAAAUAUUUUUUUUAGAACAACUUACUUUAUUCAUAUUUUUGUGUCGUUAAACGGAAAAAAACAUAUUAUAUUAUUAAUAUUUUAAAUUAUUAUAUAAUACAAUUAAAUUAUUAAUAUUUUAGAUAUUGUAAAAUUAUUAAUACUACUAUUAUUAUCUUUUAAAAUAAUUUUAUAAAACUAAUAAUUAAAACAUUGGUUAUUAAAUUUUAUAAAACUAAUAAUUAAAACAUUGGUCAAAUAAAAGUUUUUAUUUGUGACUAUUUUUAUAAUUUCAACUUUCAUAAAUAUAUUUUUUUAAUGUAUCUUUAUUAUUAUUAUUUUUUAAUCUAAUAGAAACAUGGCAUUACGAAUCAUUAUUCUGGGAAUAUUACAUCUAAAAAUAGGAUUCAUUGAGAUAUAGUUUUUACACCUGGUUUAUAAAGUGAAAACCUACUUCGUCCUAUCAACCAACCAAGUGAAAGAAUAUUAUAUUAAAUGUAAAAGAUUUAUUAAAAUUUAUAUAUAUUGGACAUGUUGUGAGAAUUUUGUACCCUUCAUUACUUUAUUUAUCACUAUGACGAAGAUGACGAGAUUUUUUUUAGAAUAUUAUUUUAAAUAAUGUUGAUCAAUAACUGAUACUAAUAUAAUUAAAAUUUAUUUCAUCUAAUAAACAAUAAUUUAUAUAAAUGGAGUGAAUAACAUGAUUUGCAAUCUCACAUAGUUUAUUAAACCACUAUAAUCAUUUCCAUAAUUCAUUAUUAAAACUACUAAUUCUAUUAUACACUUACAAGUAUGUAAAAAAUUAUUAUUUCAAUUCAAACUGUGUAAGCCAAAUUUUUUUAUGAUACAAUACAAUUUCAAUAUACAAAAUACGUAGUUUUUAAAAUUACUACAAUACUAGCUACACACUUAAGUUAAUACAAUAUCAAAAUACUAAUACAAAACUAAUUUUACUAACACAAAAUCUUUAAACUUUAUUGCCAAUUUCAAUAUAAUUAUAUAUUCAUGUAAAUACAUCAACAUUUAUAAAGAAAAUAUAUAAAUACAAAUAAUAUACUUGUGUUUCAUCUUUCACUCAUUCUUGUGUUGAAUUCUUUGUUGUUUUUUGUUCUCACUGAUUGUUGAUGAUGUACUCAGUUCAUCUUAUCCACAACCAUUUUAAGAAAAUCUUUGUUUGAAACUUUUAAAGAUCUUUUUUUAUUAUUGUUAUUAUUAUUAAUAUAAUAGUAUAUGACUAAUUAUACCAAUUGAGUUAAAAAACAAAGUGAGAAGUGCAGGAUAUGUUUGAUGUGGGAUAUAUAUAGUGAUAGGGGACCACAGUUAAUUAUACUUAUACUACUCCAUACUUGAUGGCGCUUAAUGUUUGAAAUUCAAACAGUAGAAAACGAAAGCUGCUGGCAUCUCCUAGUAAUACACAAUAACACAAAUAAAAAUUAAUAACCAAUUCCUACAUUACCAUAGCCUUUUCAAUAACACUUUAAUAAGAAUCUUUACCUAAACUUCCUUUCUGUAAUAUAAAAAACUUAACAUUGAUGACAAAAUUAGAUUAAAAAGUUGUUAAAAUCUGGAUUGAUGAAUUUGAUUUCUCCUACUGUGCUAGCUGAGCCACCUUCAGAUAUUGCUUAUAGAAUUCAUAUAUAACAGAAGGAAGUGGUAGAAGAGCUCUUUCUAACUGAGCAUUAACCAGUAAAACCUAGUACCUAUAUUUAUAGCAUUCAACUGAGAUGAGAGCAUUGUAUUGAACCAAUUAGUUUUUGAAGAAUGAGUCUACACCAAAUCAUUUGAAUCAAAAUGCAGUUUCCAUUUGCGACAUAUCUGCAUAUUUCCAUAGCUGUAACCAGUAAGUACAUUAACCCUAAACCAAGAAAGUGGGUUCAAUAAAAUAUUGACUACAGAGUAGAAACCAAUCAUGUAUGUUUUCGGGGUUUGAUUUUGACCCUUCUUCUUUUUAAUAAUUAUUUUUUAUUGGAUUUUGAAAAUGAGGCUCUCCUAGUGUAUAUUUUUGUUUAUAUUUCUCAGUUCUCUGAAUAUAGAAAGCUUCAAAAGUUGAUAGUGGAGAGAGAAAGAGAACAUGGGGAAUUUGAUUUUCGAUAUGUGAGAUAUGGGAGUGGAAGACAAAGGUAGUAUUGUCAUCUUUUCGAUGUUCCCUUCUUCAUGGAUCUUAUUAACCAUUUUUGUCAACAUGUUCGCGUCUUUCUCCACUCGUCCGGUAGUUACAAGACAACUUUGAGGUUUCAACUCUUUGCCACAUCAACAACUUCUCUCUUUCCCACUCACAAAUUAUUACUCCCUAAUUCCAAUCCCCUAGAAUCUGUUUAAUACAUCAGACUUCCUGGGAUUAUUAUAUACCAAAUGCUUAUUUCGAACACACAUUUACAUUAUAGAUAGAACAAACACAGAAAUAUUUUAUGUUGUUUUAGGUUAAAUGUGAUUUUUCAUUUCAGAAGCAAUUUUACAAACACCUAACCUUCACAUGAUAGGUAAGUGUAUGCUAAUGCACCAAAUAAAUUCAAAACACAAAAAAGAAAUCAGUGCUUGUCAUUAUUACUUUUUUACUGUCAACUAUCUAUAAGUGUACGUUAAAACCUGGUAAAAAACCAUGAAUCUAGACAUGACAGUUUGAAAUUAUUAAAUGAUUUCUGUAAUUAGAAAGGAAGCAUGGUGAAAUACACUAAACAUUUAGCACUAAAAAUGUGUUUGGAAUGAUGAGGUGAAGGAGUUUUGUGCGUGUGUGUGUGUGAGAGAGAGAGAUAUGAAGAGCAUCUGAAAGUCUUGGAAGGUUCCAAAUACAUAAGGACAGAUGGAAACGAGAAGGUGUUACGCUUUACUAGUCGAAAAGCCCCACCAAGGGGUAACAGACAAUAUGGGAUAGUUACAGUCAGCUUUUGAAAUUCACAUGAAGUUAAUGACAAGGAGAUACCAUUACGAUUACAUGGAUUUCUUGCCACACUAUUCUUCUGCUUAUGAUGAUUAUAUAAAGGGUCUGAACCCCAUUUUUUGUUAGCUUAUGGCUUGUCAAUGAAAGCAUGGGGAGGUGUUGUAGUUUGACAUUUGGAUCAUGACGUAUGGUCCUCACGUAGUUUUCUUUCUUUUUUUUUUUAUACAAUUUGUUGAACUUGUCCUUUAUAUUGACUUAAAUACCAGAUGUAGCUGUUAGAUUGGUGCAAGCAUAGGAUAUUUGUACAGGAGAUUAGGUUGGAAUUUCAAAUCCUUAACGUUAAGUUUGCAUCAAACAGGGCACUCUUGCAGAGUCAGACAAUAGCAUUGGACACAGAUAAUACCGAGAGAAAAGUCACAGAAAAGUGUUCUUAGUUUUGAAUUGAAGCAAUGGGAAAGAGAAGCAGAAAGCAAAACAUGUGCAUUUGGAGUGAUUGCAUAGAGAGAUAGUACGGUGUUUGGCCUAUGACGAAGAUUAAUGUCAACCCCUAAGUUUUGUGGGUACGUGUGGUGUGAUGUGAGGAUCAGAGUACCUCUCAUUUUAUGAACGAUUCACCACCCGUGACUCACUCUACGCUUUAAUUUAUUUAUAUUUUUAACCAUUCUUUUUUAAUAAUUUUUUAAUAAUAGAUAAGUGUCAUUAUUUUAUUUGUUUCUUUAAAUUUAUUUUAAAAAAAUAUUUAAAACAGAUCAAUCAUAAACUGUUACGUAUACAUUAUAAAAAAAAAAUAUUAAAAAAAUUUGUUCAUAUAUAUAUAUAUAUAUAUAUAUAUAUAUAUAUAUAUAUAUAUAUAUAUAUAUAUAUAUAUAUAUAUAUAUAUAUUACACACUCAUCUCAUAACUUACAAAUGCUUCACUUUGUACAAUCCAUACAUUACUUGCACCAGAUAUUGGAAUUGACCAUUUUAAUGACAUGCAUUAAUUUUAUUUCAUUUUACUAUUUUAUUAUUACAUAUAAUUGUAUUUCACUACGUACAAUCCAUUACUUGCACGUUUGAAAUAUGACUAAAUAUUUUUAUUUAUUAUUUUAUUAAUAAUAUGUUUUUGUAUUUACUUGUAAAAGAUAAUAAAUAACUAAUCUUUAAUGUUUUUUUCUUUUAAUUGUUAUACUUGCAUCAAAUAAUUGUGUCGCCAAGACAUUGAACUUUGAAAUUAAAAAACUAUAAAGAAAUUUUUUAAAAAUUUAUAUGGAUCAAUCCUCGAGUACAAAACCUACAGUUAUGCUGGGUGCACCAUCCAUGUUAUUAAGUCGCAAGUCUUACGUAGAUGAACCCGUCCUAACUUAUGUUUGCUGAAAUGAAUAUCAUAAUAAUAUCAAUGUUACCAAUUUAUAUUAGACUAUAUUAAUAUUGUGGGUGGUCAAAUAUUAGAGCAAUUAUGUACUAUUUUUAUGUACAUAAAAAUUCUUUUUUAAGUAUUUUUUUUUUAAAAAAAGUCGUUUCUAAAGAAGACUGGUUAUUUAAAAAUAUCCAUGAAAUCUUCCCAAUAUUUUGACCUUGUAAAGUUUGUAGGCUGGUCAAAUUUCCAUGUCUACUAACACUCAUGGGCGAUUCUUCGUUCCUUCUAUCUAGCAUUGUAGGCGAUGUACAUCUACUCAAUAGCCUCCUUCAACAAAUUUAACAAAAUUUUAGACAAAUUUAGUUUCCUUAAAUUUUGGACAAUCACAUUUUCUGUUUAAAAUAAGACUAGGAAUUUUAUUGGCGUGGUAAACGUAACAUGUACAAAUAAAUAUCUAACACUCUUGUGACAGUAUUCAAAUUGUACCUAAAACAAAUAACCUGUUCAAUCUUAAAUAAAUAAAAAAAUAUCAUUAAAAACCGUAUAUUUUUAUGGUACGAAUAAAAUAACUUUAUGAUAAAAGCUACUAGCUAUUGUGUACUUUAGGUAGCAAUAAGGACACAUUGGUAAAUGUGGCUUCCCUCUAUGCCUCGUACAGUCGCAAUGAUUUCACUAGUAUUAAGCAAAUUUUGGCAAACAAUUCUAAGGUGAUUAUAAGUGACGCUGUUUAGAAUUUGUUUAAAUAAAUUCUGAAAUGUGACGUUACAUAUAUACAUAUUAUUAUGCAAGUACAGAGGAUAAAGGAAAGAAACUAACACGACAGAUACCUGAAUUUACCAGCAAACCCUCCUCUAAGCACUAUCCAUCUCCGUCUCCUUGACUUUGUUACUGUCAGUAUUAGUAUCCUCAAAAAGAGUUUCCAUUUCUUCUAACGUUUUUCCCUUGGUCUCCGGCAUAAACACAUAAAAGAAACCCGUAGCCAACACCAUAAUCCCCGCCAGAACAAAAAACAUCCCUCCAAACGUUAUUUUACCCGAAAUAGACAAGAAAGUCAUGGACACCACCCCACUCACCAACCGGUUCACCGAAAUCGCAAGGCUCGACCCUUGGGCCCUGAGCCUGGAUGGAAAUAUCUCUGACGAGUACACCCAAGUGAUGGGCCCAAGCCCAAUAGAGAAAAACGAAACAUCAGCGCACACCGCCACGAUGCUGACCACAACGGCCCAAAGAGGCUUCGAACUGGAGUGUUGGAGAAUCGUGGAGCCCAGGCCCAACGCGGACAGCGACACAGCCAUCCCAGCGGUGCCCAACAGCAAAAGAGGCCUCCUUCCAAACUUGUCCAAGUAGAAGGCGGAAAGCAAAACGAAGGAACUCUUAGCAAUUCCCAUGAUGACGUUAACCCCAAAAAGCUGCUUCUUGCUAUGAAUCCCCGCAGCUUUGAACACCUCCGGGCAGUAGUAUAUAACGGCGUCGUUUCCGGAGGCCUGCAUGAAAAAGUUAAUCCCUAUGGCAGUAACCAGCAUCCGCCUGAUGGGCCGAGUGGGCCGUAAUAAAAGGUCUUUCCAAACGCCCUGACCACGCCAAUUUUCGGGGCCUGGUUCUGCAGCUUUGGUUAUCUGGUGAAGCUUCAAUUCCGCUUCCUCGGGAGUAGUUGAGAUUCUGAGAAGAACGCGUUUGGCGUGGGGGAUUCUUCCUUUCAUGACGAGCCAGCGAGGGGAUUCGGGCAUGGCCAUGACGCUUAAAGCGAUUGCGAUUGCGGGCAGAGCUGCGAGGCCCAGCAUGAGUCUCCAUGAAAUGUGUUCAGGAAGGGAAGAGAGGAAGUAGUUCACGAUGUAGCCGAGGAGGAUCCCUAGGGUGAUGAAAACUUCCGGGAGAGAGGUGAGGAAGCCACGUGUCAUUUCCGGAGAGAGCUCGGCGGUGUAGAGAGGGGCAAUCAUGAGGGCGUAACCCACGCCGAUGCCUGCCACCAUUCGACCGCAUAAGAUGAAUGCGAAGGAAGGUCCCAGGCCCAUCAAGAUUGCCCCCACCAGGAACGUGAACGAGGCUAAGACGAUUGUGUAGCGUCUUCCGAUGUAAUCCGAGGUUUUUCCCGAUGCGAGUGAUCCGAUUAGAGAGAAGACGUUGAGUGUGCCCACCAGCACUUCCUCUUGCACCGCCGAUAUUUUUAGGUUUUCUCUUAUCAGAAAGGCGGCGCCACUCAUAACUCCAAUAUCUGCGCAUAUUCAAUGAGAGGUUCUGAUGAGUAAAAUAAAUGAGGGAAAAAAAGAGAUUAAGCGGUUGAGUGACCCACCGUAGCCCAGGAGAACGGAGGUGGCGGAAGCAAGAAGGGCGGAGAGAAGUGUGAAGGUGUUGAGGCGAGUGGGCGAGGUUUGUUUGGCGUCGCCAUUCUCCAUUGCUUGUCUGUUAGUGAGAAUGAGAGCAGAGACAGCAGGAACACGGGCAAGAGAAAAACGAAAAGAUAGAAACCAAGACCACAUAUACUAUCCUCUUUUCCCCUCCAAAACAUAUCUAAUCAAUCACUUUCCGUCUUUUUCUUUUAAAUCAUACCAAGUUAACACAGUAAUUAAUACACACAAUCGCUUUCAUACAUAACAUACACAUAAAUGUCUUAUUUUUAUGUCAUAUAAAUACAUGCUUUUCUAAUUUGUCAAUGCUUUUGUUUGUGUAUAAGAUUUUUUUAAAACAAUAUUAUUAAAUAAAACUAACUUGUUUGGAAUUUAUUUGUAUUUAAACUUGUAUUUUUUUACAUCUGAAAUAUAAUAUAAAAUUUAAAUAUUUUUAUUUUUUUUCUCCGACCUAAUUGAGAGUUGUUUGCAUUACGUAAAAAAAGCCUUUUAUAUUGUUGUUAGGUAUUUUUCAAACUUGUUUGUUAGUCUUAAUAUCUAGCUAGUACUUAGACAGACAUAGUCAUUAGAUUGAAUGCGCCAUUAAAUAUACUUAAUACAAAAGAGUCUAUAACUAACUAAUACUAAUACAUGCUAAUCCAAAAAGAAUCGUAAAUUAACUAUUUUGUUCCGUUUUAAUUUUAUAUGGACUGUUAAUUACUUACUAUUUUUAGAAUUUAUUCAAUUAUUUUUAAUCUUUUUUAUGCAGUUUAAAUUGAAAAAAAUUAGGAUUACGAUUGUAUGUGAAAAUUACGCAUGAUAAAUAUUGUAAGAAAACAAAUUUAAUAUAAUAAUGGUUUAAAUGUAUAAACAGGUGAAAAAUUAAACUUAAUUAAUAUACACUUAAUAAAUUGCUUUAGAUGAAAUAGCUUAUUAAAAAGAUAUAGGUUAGUUUCACCAUUAAUGUUUUAAAUCGAUAAAGUAAUUUAUUAACUCGAAACUGAUAAGUAAAAUAUUUUUUAAUUGAAAAUUAACUUGUUGACUUUGUGACUAAUAUACUGUCAAUGAAUACUAUUAAAUAAGUAGUAUUGAAGCAUUAAUGAAGAAGCAGGAAACUUCCCUUUCAUUGAAUGACAGCAUAGGAAUCCAUCGGUAUCUGUUUUGGCUUCAUAAUAUUUGAGUGGAGGAGAGGACACCGCCAAAUCUCUAUUUGGGGAAAAUAGGAAAAACAAAUAAAAGAAAAAAAAUAAACUUUCACAUUUUUUUUUUCCAAUAAAUACUAUCCCUACGAAAAUUUGUAUCUCUUUUACUCAGAAGACACAAAAAAAAGGAAAAAAUCUCUCUUGAACUCAAGCGAAAUAGUUUUAUUUCUUGGAUUUUGAGAAAUAAUAUUUUAUUUAUAAUUAAAACUAUACACGAAGUUUACAUCUUUAGUCGAAUGUUACAACAUACUCAACAAUAACGAGCCUUGAGAUGCGUUCGUUUGGAAUGAUUUGGAACAGAUAAUUUGCGAGAAAUGAUUUGAAUGAAUUUAAGUGAAUUCGAGGGUAAUUUUUUUUUGUUGUUUUUUUAGUAGAUUUGUGAAUAAUUGAGGAUGAAUUUAAGGGUAAAGUUUGUGAAAAUUAGUGUAAGAUUUGAUUGAUAUGACAGAUUUAAAAACUUAGUUUAAUUGGUAAAAAUUAAAGAUUACUAAAAUGUUUUAUUAAAGUAAUAUAAAAUGUUAUUUAUUAAUGCAUAUUUAAUUGUAAAAUUUUUUAUAAUUAUUUUUCCCCUUAUAUUUAAAUAUUAAUUUAGUUUUUAUAUUUUUUUGAAUUUUUUCACUUCAGUUUUAAUAUUAUUUUUAUUUAAUUAAAUUUUAAUUUUCUUAAAUUUAAUUUUUUAUUAAUAUUAUUUAAAUAAUUAACCGUAUAAUAAGGAGGACUCAGUGUAUUUAAUAUAUUAUGUGAAUUUUUAAUUUUAAAUCAAAAGGGAAAAUAGGGUUGAUGAGCUCAUGGCAGGAUCGUCUCUACCCUUCUUCACAUAUGUUAUUAGUGAGUAAAUCAGCGCAAAUCUCUUCUUAAUAGCGAGAUGAAAAAAAGAAGCAUUAUCUUGCAAAUCUCCACACUUCAUCGUUUGCAAAUCAGUAAAAAGAAACAAAUUGUGUUAUGCAAUUCAUCGUUCACUUUCGCGUCUGAAGAGUAAAAUCUGUUAACGGGAAGAGAGCAUGAGCUUUGUAUAAAACUCUUCAUUCUACAUAGGAAGAAGAACUGCAUCUUCGCAAGUUAGAGCAAAACCUCUUCAUUCUCUGUUUCUACACUUUCUUCUUCUUUUCACUGUUUGAUGCUUCAAUACGAAGAUUUUGCUUUCUAUAUACAGAGGCCUCUUGUCAGGUACAUGAUUUUGCUUCUAAAUAUAACAUUCUUUUAUUGAUUUAUAAUUUAAUAGCGUAUCUAAAAAAUUAAAAUGAAAUUACUUGUCAUAAAUAUGUCAUUAUUACAAGAAGAAAGAAUUCAAUAAAGAUAUUUCAUCAUAUUUAAAAAAAAAAUUGUAUAUUCUAUAACAUAAACACUGACAAAACUAUAUUUUUCAUUUCUAAUAUAAAGACAUUACCAUAAGUGGAGGUACCAUAAUGAUAGAAUAUGUGAGCCGGUUGUUGAUUAUAGAUUAAGUCGGAUUUAACGGAAAAAAGUGAAUUUUUGUUGAAAAUGAUUUAAAAUAAAUUUGAUUUGCCAAAGUCACGAGUUAAAAUAUUUUAAAUACUUAAUUUAUUUCAAUAUAUUUAUAUUAAUUAUGUAUUUAAUAUUUGAAUCGGGUUAAUAUUAGUUACAAAAUAUUAAAAUUAUCAUUUAUAAUUUAAAGUUAUUUAGAAUGUACAAUUUUUUAUAUUUUUAAAGAUUAACGAGUCAUUCCUCCUAUCUCAACAAUCUGUAGUGAGUAUAAAACCUCAAACUUACAAUAAAGUGAAACAGAUUAAAACUAAUCUACUUUUAAAGUGAUUCGUAUUAAAUUAAAUUAAUCCACUUUUAAUGUAAUUCUUAUUAGUCAACUUUUAGUUUUGGUUACCUUUGUACGAUGAUGUUGUAUCUCAAACUCCAACUCAACCAACCAACCAUAGAACAUGACUUCUCUCUCCGUCUUUCCCUCACUCCCAUCGCUUCAAAACCCUAACUUCACGCAUCCCCGCCUCUCCGAUUUCAUCUAUUUCCCUUUCAAUUCCACGCAAUCUUUCGCACCACUCUCUCGCCGUAAUUUCCUAUGCAGAGCUUUCAGAGAUCCCGGCGAGGACAUCAAAGCGGUCGUCAAGACCGAUGACGGCGGCGGCGGAGAUGGGGGUGGAGACGGUGGGGGGGACCGGGACUCGGAGAAAAAAGAAGGGCCUUUGCCGGAGUGGUUGAAUUUCACUACUGAUGACGCCAAAACGGUACUUGCUGCUAUCGCAAUUUCGCUUGCGUUUCGCACGUUCGUGGCGGAGCCUAGGUACAUUCCCUCGCUGUCAAUGUACCCUACAUUUGAUGUUGGCGAUAGAAUUGUUGCUGAAAAGGUAGCCUUAUUGUUCCUUUACCUUCUAAUUUCAAGAGGGUGUUGUUCAUCUGUUCAUGAACUUGUUAUUAGCUGUAUAUUUUGUAUUAGAACUGAUACUUGGACGAUAUUCACCUCGGAUUUGGCACUUUUAACAGCAAGGAGAAUGCUCUUUGGAUUUAAAGUGUACUAUAUCAUUAAUGUUUAAAAAAUCAAUUGUUUAAACUUGAAAGUGUUAUUAAACUCAAAGUUUGUCAAACAUGUAAUUGAUCUUUAUUUCAAACUCAAAUUUAAUUUUUUAAACGACGAAUGUGAGGGCACUUUAUUCUCUGAAAUUGUACUCUUUUGACUUUACAAGAGAUGAUUAAGUUGAAACACGACGAUACUCGCUCAAUUUAGAAAUUAACUACUCCGAAAAAGAAAAGGAAAAAGGAGUCCAGACAACAUCUUGUGUAUGUGUGGAUAUGGCUUUUCCCUUGUUAUAGAUUGUCCUAUCAUCCUCUGAUCUGACUUUCUGCUAUGAUUUAUAGUGUCUGUAUGUCAAGAGCUGUAGGUUAGAUUCAUCUUCAUCUGACAACUUCAGCUAUUUGUUGGAAUAUGAUAAGAAUUUGGUGUUUUUCUAUAAUGUGCGGGGUAUCUGUAAGGUACUGUAAACAUAUGAGUCGAAGUUUUUGCUUUUUUUAAAGACACUACUCUUCAAACCAUUAACUGAUUUUUUUUCAUGAAAUGCUUGAGUGUCUUAUCUUUGUGGGUGCCGGUAAUUGAAAUGCUGAUUCUCUGAAAAUUUUUGUAGAAUUUUCAACUGUGAGGCAUGAACCUAAAAAUUUCUUGUUGUUAGACAUACAAGGUUACGAGGAUUACUAUACACUUUUGUACGUAAUUGGUAAAUUCUUACUUUCUCUUUAUUUUGCUAAAACAGAUUAUUUACGGACUUAGAAAUUUGCAGAUAAUAAUAUUUUUUUAACUCUUGUACUUGUACGUAUUUGUUCUGAUGAGAAGUGUUUAUGUUGAAUUUAACUACUUCACAAAACAUAUAUGCACCCGUAGGCUUGGAUACUUGUGGGGCAAGUCAUGUAACAUUUAGCUAUGCUCUCUAAAUUGAAUUUGAAAUCAACGUUCAACUGGACUUAUCUUCUGAUAUGAUGCAUCUCAAUUGUAAAUUAUGUUUUCAGGUUUCUUACUAUUUUAGAAAACCAUGUGCAAGUGACAUAGUGAUAUUCAAAAGCCCUCCUGUGCUCCAAGAAGUUGGAUAUAGUGAUGACGAUGUUUUUAUAAAGCGUGUGGUUGCAAAGGAAGGUGAUAUUGUGGAGGUAAGAUCUUUUGAGAAGAGCAUUGAUACUCUAAUAUUUUGUGAUGGUAUUAUCUUUUGACGAUGUUACAUUCAUAGUCCUGUUAUCUUUUGUUUAUCCAUAGCUUCACUUUUCCAAUGCUUGCUUUCUGGUUUAUAGGGAAGUUUAUUCUUUUCUAUUUGUUCAGGAGUUUGGUUUGUUAGAUGGUGGCUACUGACUGUUACAUGUAAUUGGAACUUAAAAGUCGGCUUGAAUAGCAUUUAGUAGUCAUUUAUAAUGUAAGCCAGAUUCCUGGGGUGCUCGAUUCUGCAGCUUAGUCUGAAAUGUGAGCAAUUGAAUUAUUUGCAGGUCCGUAAAGGGCAUCUUGUAGUUAAUGGGGUUGAGAGGAAUGAAGACUACAUUCAUGAACCACCUGCAUAUGAGAUGAAACCCACAGUAAGUUCUAUCUUUUAAUAUUUUGGUUCUGUUGUCUUCCCUUCCUCUAUAGAUCCCAAAGGAACAACAUGGUAGUGCUAUGCCAAGUUCUCCAUUGGAAUGAAUUAAAGGACAUAUGUAUCAUUAAUUUGUUUGGUUUUGCAGCGUGUACCAGAGAAUUACGUGUUUGUGAUGGGAGACAAUCGCAAUAACAGCUAUGAUUCCCAUGUGUGGUAAUGAUGUUUUUAAGUAUGCUGAGACGCAUUCAUUAUCUUUACUAUUUCAUGUUUGAUAGUUAUAUUGUGAAUGGAAUGUGAUUUUGUUAGGGGUCCCCUGCCAUCCAAGAACAUUAUAGGGAGAUCAGUAUUUCGAUAUUGGCCACCAAAUAGAAUUGCUGGCACAAUUUCUAAGGAUAGCUGCAGUGUUGAAACCACGCAGGAGAAUGCAGAGACUGCUCUACCUUCUCAAUGACCACACUUGCCAUCCAUUGCUGUGGAUUAUGUAAUGCCAAUUUUUGUAUUGUUAAUCUUAAUCUUAGGAAAGAAAUAGGACGUUUACUAAGUUGAAAAAACAUUUAUGUAAAUGCUCAUAAUUUAUGCAGAUGUAAAACAAUUUAUUUCAAACUUAACGACCAAGCUUUCUAUGAAUUUACUUUUUAUUCUUAGUUAGCUAUCGACUUUGUAAUAUUCAAAUAAAACUUUCAAGGAUUUUUUAAUAAUUAAACAUGAACAUCAUUUUAGACCAUCUUAUUGCAACCAUUUAUUUAUUUCCUAAAACCAGAACAAACCUUUAAUCUCGUCCAACAGAAAACCUCAAUACCCAAGAAGUUCCACAUCCUCCCAUAAGGCUAGCAAAACACAACAUAAUUACAAUGUAAGAUUGCCAACAAAUUGUCGAGCUAUAUUAUAUCAUAAUCACAGCAUAAGAUAAUACUUAGAACAGUAAGAUGUGCACACUCCUAUUUCUUUAUUUACAUAAAGGAUACAAUUUGCAAAGAAAUGCCACGGUUUAAAGAGAAUUUAAUUUUAUUACACAAUUUAAAUCAAAGCCACAUAUUGAUAAUGAAUAUAUUUAUAUGUAUUUUUAUCUUAUUAUAACUCAUUUUCAAGUCACUGAAUAAUAUUUACGACACCUCUAAAAAAAGGAAAAUUAUGUCAUUUUCUGUUUUUGGAAAUGAAAUAGAGAUUAUUUAAACAAUGUGAACUUUGGCCAAUUACAAAGUUUUCUUCCAAAAUAUCUCAAACAUGGGAUAUCUAAUAAAAUAAAGUUUUGCUCACACAUAUCAAUACAAUAUUACACACAAAACAAAUACAUAUCUAUGUUAACAACUACCAAUCACAGAUAACAAUUUCAAUUUUUUAUCUUAGAUGGAAAUGAGGUUCAAGGGGCAAAGCAAAAUUUGUUGGCAUUGGAUCAUCAAUCUCAUCAAGAUAAAAUAAAUACUCUCAUCUGGAAGUACCUGACUUUAUACCAAUACAAUACAUAAAUAAACAGACAAGUUAACCUCGUCACAAUAUUCAAAACAUACAUUUAUAAUACACAAAUUCAGUUACUGAAAAAAUAACUUAUAUUACUGUAAUAUGCUACUAUUAAUACAUAACAUACUUAGACACGAUUAUAGUUAUUCUUAGUUUAAAGUUGUUGUUAUAUUUGAAGAUAAACAAUGAUUAAAGAGAGAUAAAUUAUAUUUAAAUAAUACUCUUUGGAUUUUAAAGUAUAGUAUGAUUGACAAGGAUGGUAAUUAAGAUGAUACUGAAGUCAUAUUACACAUUGUUUUAGCAAAGACGUUACUCAAGUUAUGUUUGCUUUCACUCAAGCAUCAUAAGCAUGACUCAAUCGUCAUUUAUUGUUAUUGUAAAUACAAAUAAUUUACUCUUGUACUUUAAUACUUCAAGUUUAAUGUUGAUGAUGUGUUAUUCAAAAUCGUGAUAUAAGUUCUAAAAUUGUAUAGUGUAAUUGAUGAAUAUGAUGUUCUUUUUUAAUGUUUUAAGUACUAACUUUGUCGAUAUUACUCUAAUGAACAUAUACACAUUUCAACUCUCUUUUCACCUUUGGACUAGAGUUCCCUCACCCUUAUUUAUAAGAGUUAUUGUAAUAAUUAUAUUUAGAUAAAGUAAUUAUAUUUAAAAUAAGUAGUUAAUUUAUUUUAAGAACAGAUAUUCUAAACAUUUUAUAGUUAUCUUAUAAUGAAAAAUAGACAUUAAUUCGGUGAGUAUGUCAAGAUUUAAUGCAACGAAAAUUCUAAAAAACAUCUUAAUUUUGUAUUCAUGUUGCACAUUGUAUGAACCUUUUUUGUUUCUACCAAAUAUUAGAUUAUGUUUUUGAAAGUGGAUUUUUUUUUUCUUAUUGGAGAAACAAAAGUCAGUCCACUUUUAAUUUGUUACAAAAAUUAUUCUAUUAUGUCUGCAUUUGUCUUUUUGAUUUUGAAAAGCAAAAAUUAUGAUGCACAAUUUUCCAUUGUUUUAAAUGAUAAAAUGUUUGAAAACUCCAUUAACUACGAUAUAAGUAUUUAUUUGAAACAUUGUAAGUUAAAUUAGUCAAACUUUUAUGAUUGAAAAUUUUGUGAAGAAAAUUUUAUGCAAGCGAAAAAUCUAAGUUAAUGAUAUCUACUAUAGUUGUGAAAAUGUAAUACACAAAAAAUCAUAUUAAAACAAAAUAAACAUAUAUAAUACACACAAAAAAAAUGUCCAAUUACAUUCCAAAGUCUCGUGAUUGUGUAAUGUUAAGUCAUUUAGAUUCUAAUUAGAAUGCACUGACGAAAGUUGUACAAUAUUAAUAUUUGUAGACUAAAAAUGCAUAUAAAGUAAAUAAAUAGAAAACAUUAUAUUAAUAUACUUUUCUGACACAUUCUUUUCUAUCGGUUUAAAUUUAUUUAAAACUAUAUAAUGUGGUUUUUAGUUUUGUAACUUCUAAUACAUUUAAUUAAUAAAAAAUAAAAAGCUUGUUAAAAGGACAUAAGAGGUGUGUAAUUAACAUUUCUCAACUACUAAAUAUAAAAAAGCUAAUGACAUAUUUAGUGUGAUUAGCAUAUAUGAAAAUAUGAGUGAUUGACGAAAUAAAAUGGAUUUGUUUGAAAAAUUAAAAUUAAAAACUGAGUAAAUAUCAAGAAUAUAUAAACUGAAAAAGAAAUGUAAAAGUAGAGUUAAAAUAGAGUUAAAAACUGAGUAAAUAUCAAGAAUAUAUAAACUGAAAACGAAAUCUCAUCUUUUUUAAUUUUUUCAACCAUACGCAUUUAAUUCGUUUUAUUUUUCAUAAAUUCUACUAUCCUUUUUCAUUUUUACCUAGUCUGAUUAUUCUUUUCCAAAAAUAAACGGAAGCUUAUUAUUUAUUUCGUAACAAAAAUUAAAAAUGAAAACGAAUUAAUAAUUAAGGCAAGGUUUUCACUUUUCUUUCUUUGAAGUUCAAGAGUGCUCCAUGUUUGCUUGAUAGGUAUAUAAUCAUUUGAUAUCACUUUCCUUACUCACACUCUUUUUUAUUUUUGUUAUGUUUGAAUCUCCAUCAAAUCUCUAAUGGGUGAAUUUCUGGUUCUAAAUGUAGCUCUUCUGUAAAGAAGGAAGGUUCAAACUGCUGGAGUCUUUGAAAGGUAUCUAUAUCUUUGUGUAAUGGGUUUCGUCUUUCAAUCUUCAAAAAUGUUUUCUUUCCUUUUCUUUCUCAACGUCUGCUUGUUGAGUGUUUCUGUUUUUUAUGCGUGGUCCUCUCUGUCCGUUGAUCUGCACUGUUUGAGUCUUCGAAAUUUGAUUUCCAUUUUGGGUUUUUUGUUUCGCUGAUUAGUCUCUAAGGUUCAAGAAUGUUCGGUGUUUGCUUGAUGGGUAUUUAAUCUUUUGAAAUCAUUUUCCUUACUCACACUCCUUUUUAUUUUUGUUAUGUUUGAAUCUCCACCAAAUCUCUAAUGGGUGAAUUUCUUGUUCUAAAUGGUGCUCUUCUGUGAAGAAGGGAGGUUUUUUGGAUUUUUUCUUUUUUUUCUAUUGUGUUGGUUUUUGCACUGUUUGAACAUUGUUACUCUUNUAUGUUUGAUAAAAGUGUUGCCUUUGGGUUGUGCGUGGUUUUUAUUUGUGCCUUCCUUGUAUGUUUUACAUUGACAUGAAAUUUAUGAAAACAUUUCAACCACCAGGCUUGCUUGCCCUUCUUCAUAUGAGAAGACGACACCUGGGAGGAGUCGAAGCAGUUAAAGAAAAUGAUCGGGAGAUAGGAACCACGGGACACUAAAGGAAAAUGGAAGUGCCUAUCAGCGCACCAGCUGAAAAAUCUCUUUGCCUUUACUCUAACAAGUAAGCAAGCUUCACUCCUUUCCUGUUUAUUUAUUCAUUGGGGCGUGGUUUUGUUAGUUUUACUGGAAAUGAAAUAAAGCUUAGGCAUGGUUACUCUCCAUCAAAAGGUUUUCUAUUUUAAUUGCCCUCCUUUAUUGCCAUUAGAGUUUUCCUCAUCCUUUAUCAACCAGAGCACAAGUGAUAUCCAAAUUUUGUUCUCUAAUUUGAUCUUUCUAAUAUUUCUGUGAUUCUAAAGGUGUGUCUGUGUUGACAUGUAUAAAUAAUUAUAUAUUUGUGACCUGCAUCUUAUUUUUUAUGCAUUUGAUUUCAUAUUGUCGAUGGUCAUUAGCUGCUGUAGAACAAACUUUUUGUGCAUUCUUUUUGGAGGACAUAAAUAAAGAUAGUUCUAUUGUUAAUAAGUUGUAACUUUUAGCAUGAUGAACUAAGACCACAGAAGGAGGAGGCUAUGGAUGAUUACUGUUCCCUAGUAUCAAGAUUAUUUUCAUUAUUAUACUUAUGUCUCUCACCAGUAUUGUCACNGUUGUUACAUUUCUGCUGAUAAGCUCUUUCUUUUCUUUUCUCUUUAAUAAUAGUUCUAGGUUUUUGCUAGUUCUAGGCUAUGGAUGAUUACUGCUCCCUAGUAUCAAGAAUAUUUUCAUUAUUAUACUUAUGUCUCUCACCAGUAUUGUCAAUGUUGUUACAAUUCUCCGGAUCUGAUUUCUGCAUGAGUUCUCCGGGUCUUUAUAUUUUUCGUUUUACAAUCAGAUGGGCUUUAAGUAGUUUAAAUUCUUACUGUUUACUGGACAAAAUACAUAAUUAUAUGCCCUUUUUUUCUGAAGUCUGAACUGAAUCGGUGAAACUUGGAUUAGAGGAUUCUUUGGAUUUAGCCCUUUUCUGAACUGUUGCACUCACACAACUAUGUAGUGAUGACAAUUCAUUUUUUCAAACAAGGACAACGGACCAAUUAGUUAUUGUUAUGGUGUUGUUAUUUGGUGCCUUUUUUUUUUUUGUUUUCUUCCAUGGCAACAGAGCAUGGAGCAGCAUCUAGAGCUUUCUUUUAACUUAUUGAAUGGAAAGUGGGUAUCACGGUCCAAUGUUGUGUGAAAAUCAUGAUGGCAAGAGUGCGUGGAAGGAGCUGCUGUGGUUGCUGAGUAUUGACCAGCUGGAAUUUAAUCAUAAUCUCAUAUUCUCUUUGUCAGUUUUUGGUUCCACAAUGCCAAGCAAUCAUGGGAAUUUGUGUAUUCUUGCAUUACUCUGGUUGUGAUAUUGGCGUUUAGUCUUUUUUAUCUGAAUAUCAAAAUUGAUAACCCCUUUACAGAUUGCUGAUUUCUGCUAAUCAACUGUUCUUCUUUGACCUAAGUAGUUAAACUAGGGUUGAUAACCUUAUAGAAAUUGUCUUUUUAGAUUUGAGUGCAUACUAUAUGACUUUUAUGCUUGUUUGAUUUCUGUAGCAGCUAGGAAACCGAUGUUAUUUUCCCCCUUUUUCAGUAUUUUAGCAUCUUCUAGACUAUUGUUAUAAUUAUUAUUAUUAUUAGAGGCAAAACACAUAACUAAUAGAACUUGAUUUCUUGGCAGGUGGUUAGAGUGUGGCUCUUGAAACUCGUGAGUUCGGAGUGCACUUUUUUCAUCUGUGAUUGUCUAUCUAUGCUUGAUAAAUGUUGAUAACUGACUAUUUUGAUUGGGAUAUGAAUUUGAUUUGUUUAUUAAAUUGUUGAGUUUAUAUUCCUUAAUAGAUANAUGAGGGGGAGCAUGUUCCGUGUUUGUGAUGUUGAGUUUAUCGUCUUUCUUCAAAUAGUUGAUUAUUUCACAGACAAUGAACAACAAAGAUGGAAUACCAGUCACCCAGCAGGAAAAGAGCACGAUUGUCCCUAAGACAAUCAUAAUACUGGUGCUAUGUGGAUUUUCUUUCUAUACAGGUAUAAUCUUUUGUUCUGAGAAGGACAGAUUUUUGUCAAUAUAUGGCCAGAUAUCCAUAGGGUCCCCCGAGGAGUUAUCAAUAAGUCCUCUCCAAAUUAAAUACAUUAGUUUUCCAUAAUGUAGUAUUACUUUCAAGAUUACACUCCAUGCACAGAUCCAAGGGUAAUGUUACUGAUUGUAGUCCAUUUUUUCGUGUUAUAGGACUUGUAGAAGAAAGUUUUCUUAUUGAUUAUGUAGUCUUAAACUUAUAGAGAUGGAAGAAGUACAUAAACUUGGGAUUUGGAAAGUACCUGUGUGGUAAUUCCUAUUUCUUGACUCUAUUUCUAAUCCAGUCCCAUUACUCAGACAUGUAUAGGCAUGAGUUAACUCAAUUAAACCACCAUUCUCAAUUUAUAUUAUUUUAGGUUGCUAGCUGGGGUGGUAGCCUGUUGGAUCGUGGGAUUCUAACUGUCUCUCUUGCACCAAGAGAUAACCAUCGAGCUCAGAUUCAAUUUGCUCUAGAGCGUGGUAUCCCUGCAGUUCUUGGUGUCAUUUCUACACAGAGACUUCCAUUCCCAUCAAACUCCUUUGAUAUGGCUCAUUGCUCCAGAUGUCUAAUCCCAUGGACAGAAUUUGGUACUUCUUUCUGGGGAUUUUGAACUUUAGAAUUUAUUCCUUUUUAUGCAACUCUUGUGAUCAUGAACUUCAGUAAUUACCAGUUUGUAGCUGCCUAAGUUCAGUGCUUUCAUACCAUGCUGGCAUAUAGUUUUCAAUGAGCACCUGAAUUUUUAGAUCUUAAUCGGACACAUUUUACUACUUUGCUUUUAAUAAAGGUGAAGCUGUGACUAUUUUAGAUUGUUUUUCCCAUAUUAACCAGUGAGUCUAUCAAUUUUAUAACAUGGUAAAUGGAAUGCCCUAAAACUAGGAGGUCCUACAUUUAUUUNAAGCUGUCAAGUUCACUCUAAUCUUACUGUUUUCAUGAUUUUAUUUUAUUUUAUUUUUAAUUUCUCCUAAUCUCUCUUCUUAUAGCUGAGAAGUUCACUCUAAAUUCUAGUUCUUUAUCUGAUCUUAGGUGGUGCUUAUCUCCUUGAAAUACACCGGAUUGUUCGUCCUGGAGGAUUUUGGGUCUUGUCUGGCCCACCAAUAAAUUACAAGUGCAGGUGGCGUGGAUGGAACACAACUAUUGAAGCACAAAUAUCAGAUUAUGAGAAGUAGAUAUGAGAAGUUGCAGGUAUUGCUAACUUCAAUGUGCUUCAAAAUGUUCAAGGAAAAGGGUGACAUUGCUGUAUGGCAGAAGUCUGAAGAUAACAAUUGUUAUAAUAAGUCUCCACAUACCUAUGAUGACGGCCUUGAACCAGAUUCAGCAUGGUACACUCCAAGUCGUGCCUGUAUUGUGGUUCCAAAUCCCAAGUUUAAAUUAGGCCUCUCAUCCAUUGCUAAGUGGCCUGAACGCUUGCAUGUUCCACCAGAACGGAUUUCAACGGUUCAUUAGGGGAGUGCCAAAGCUUUCAGACAAUAUAACAGUAAAUGGAAAAAACAGAUUUUGUACUACAAGAAGUUGAUCCCGACCUUGGGACAGACAAAUAAGAAAUGUUAUGGACAUGAACGCAUCUUCUGGAGGUUUUGCUACAACCUUGAUCAAUGAUCCUCUAUGGGUCAUGAACGUGGUCUCAUCUUAUGCUACCAAUACACUUCCUGUGAUNUUUGAUCGAGGGCUUAUUGGAACCUUCCAUGACUGGUAAUUUGCAAAUGUUUGAUAUGAACCAUAAGUCUUUUAUUUAUUUACUAACAUGCUUGUGCUUGUUAAACUAAUACUCGUUCCAUUCUUCAAUGGCAGGCGUGAAGCUUUUUCAACAUAUCCUCGAACAUACGAUCUGCUUCACCUUGAUGGACUCUUCAUUGCAGAAAGCCAAAGUUGAGUGUGCCAUAUGUUAAUUUUCUAUGAAUAUCAGCCAUGCAUGGAGGGAGACUCUGCACAGAGGAGCUGAGCACAAUGGAGAAAGACCAAUAAGAUUUCUAUUUUUCUUUCUUUUAAAUAGUAAUAAUAGGUUUUUGUUAAUAUCUUGCAUAGUAAUAGAUAGCAUAGUAAAUAAUAGGAUAGCACAUAUGCUCUUUUAUAUAAAAAUUAAAAAAAUCAAUUUUGAUGUUAGUUUUGUUCAUAUACAUUGUGUGUUCUGUUGAGUUUAGUUUUCUUAGUUCUAUUUUGUUAUAUACAUUUUAGUUCUUUUUCAAUUUUGUUUUGAAUAAUCCUAAUAUGUUUGUGUUGUUAGGAGUCUUACCCACUCACACAUUGAGGACAAUGAUGUGCCUCUUAAGUGUGAGGGUGGGAAGGUAGUGGUUUAAAUUUUUUGUUUUGAUGUAAAUAUACCCUGUUUAGUAUUUGUUUUAGUAAUAAUUAGGGGCAAUUUUUUUUUCAGAAGCUGUUUCUACUUUGGUUGUGUUUGGGAGUUCACAAAUACCCAGUGUAGAUAGCUAUUGUAGUCCUAGUCUGUAAAUACUUAAUUCUUUAGGAUUCAUUUUGGUUGUUUUGUAGGUAGUUUAGAUUUUAUUUGGUUCAUAGUUUCUGUAAUAAGAAUUUGUUUUAGUUUCUCUUUUUUUUUUCUUCUAUUUUUGUUUCAUAUUUUGUUUUAGUCUUCAUUUAGAAAUUUCCUUAGGUGUUUUUCAUUUUUCUUAGAUUCUGUUUCAGCUUGUAAAUAGAAAUUACUUUAGGAUUUGCUGGUUUUAAGAUUUCUUGUCAUUAUUAGAUUCUAUUUCAAUAUUUAAUGUGAUAAUUGAUGCUAAUACUUAUGUUGCUGAUUUAACAGAUAUUGUGCAUUCUAGUUGCUAUUUUGAAGCUCAUCAGAUUUUAAUGUGGUUUGAUCAACUGAUUUUAAAGUUGACCUGCAGAGCAUGUUGAUUUCAUUACUAAAGAUAAUCCUAUUGAUGCCAGUCUGAAUUUUUGUGCACAUACUAACCCUGCGGUUCAUGAUCUUGUAACAGAGGUGGUAGACACUGGAAGCAAUAAUGCAAUUCUGGUUAAUGAAGUGGAGCGCAAGAGACUGAAAAUGUCCCAGCUGGUGAAUCAAGACAGCAGAUUUUCUCUGAACUGAAUAUUCCAAUUGACAUAGAGGAGGUUCAAUCUCAUUUUAAUGUUUUUGAUAUGUUUAAAGUUGAACUCAUAGAACCUGUUGAAUAGUGUCCCUGUCAUGCCUAUGCAUUCUCACACUUGUGAUUCAACACUUGAAAUAGAACAUAUUGACAUACUUGUGGUUGUUCACAAUCCUUGAACUAACAUCAAUUUUCUAUGAUAGAUUUAAUAAUGCAGUUGUUGUGUUGGUGAAGGAUAGUGAGGUUAAUUUUGAGAAGCAAGAACAAGUUUUCUCUGACCUUGAACUUCUUGUUAGUUUGAGUGAGAUGCAAAUUAAUGUUGAUAAUCUUGUGCAUGUUGAAUCUGAGAAACUCUUGUAUGAUAUUCUUACUGUCAUGCUUGAUAAUUCUGAAUUAGUGGAUGAGAAUUUUGUGAAUCAUAUAAACACACCUACUAAUGGGUGUUUUAAUUUGAAUGCAUUGGAUUUUGAUGACUUGCUUGAGUAUUCGAUGAGUAGGUUUGUUUAUAUGAUUCACAAAAUUCUCAUCCACUAAUUCAGAAUAUCAGGCAAGAGUUUCUCAGAUUCAAUAUUCACAAGAUUAUCAACAUUAAUUUGCAUCUCACUCAAACUAACAAGAGGUUCAAGGUCGUUCAAGGUCAGAGAAAACCUGUUCUUGCUUCUCAAAAUUAACCUCACUAUCCUCCACCAACACAACAACUNCAUUAUUAAAUCUAUCAUAGAAAUUGAUGUUAGGUCAAGGAUUGUGAACAACCACAAGUAUGUCAAUAUGUUCUAUUUCAAGUGCUGAAUCACAAGUUUGAGAAUGCAUAGGCAUGACAGAGACACUAUUCAACGCAGGUUCUAUGGGUUCAACUUUAAACAUAUCAAAAACAUUAAAAUGAGAUUGAACCUCUCUAUGUCAAUCUGAAUAUUCAAUUCAGAGAAAACUUGUUGUCCUCUCUAUGUCAAUCUGAAUAUUCAAUUCAGAGAAAACUUGUUGUCUUGAUUCUCAUCAGGGACAUUUUCAGUCAGCGCUCCACUUCAUUAACCAGAACUGCAUUCUUGCUUCUAGCGUCUACCACCUCUUUUAAUUAUGUUACAAGAUCAGAACCACCACAUGGUUAGUAUGUGCACAAAAAAUCCAGACUAGCAUCAAUAGGAGCACCAUUAGUAAUGAAAUCAACAUGCUCUGCAGGUCAACUUUAAAAUCAGAAUUUGAUCCAACCACAUUAAAAUCUGAUGCAUCUUGAGCUUCAAAAUAGCAAAUAGAAUGCACAAUUUCUGUUAAAUCAGCAACAUAAGUAUUAGCAUCAAUUUUCACAUUAAGUGCUGAAACAUAAUCUAAUAAUGACAAGAAAUCUUAAAACCAGUAAAUCCUAAAGUAAUUUCUAUUUACAAGCUGAAACAGAAUCUAAGAAAAAUGAAAAACACCUAAGGAAAUUUCUAAAUGAAGACUAAAACAGAAUAUGAAACAAAAAUAGAAAAAAAAAAGAGAAACUAAAACAAAUUCUUAUUACAUAAACUAUGAACCAAAUAAAAUCUAAACUACCUACAAAACAACCAAAAUGAAUCCUAAAACAACUAGGACUACAAUAGUAUUUACAAACAAGAAUUAAGUAUUUACAGACUAGGACUACACUGGGUAUUUAUGAACUCCCAAACACAACCCAAGUAGAAACAGCUUCUGAAAAAAAAUUGUCCCUAAUUAUUAUUAAAACAAAUACUAAACAGGGUAUAUUUACAUCAAAACAAAAAAUUUAAACCACUACCUUCCCACCCCACACUUAGGAGGCACAUUGUCCUCAAUGUGUGAGUGGAUAAGGCUCCUAACAACACAAACAACAUCAGGAUUAUUCAAAACAAAAUUGAAAAAGAAUUAAAAUUGAACAAAAAUGUAUAUAACAAAAUAGAACUAAGAAAACUAAACUCAAGACAACACACAAUGUAUAUGAACAAAACUAAGAAGUAAACAUAAUAGAACAGAACUAAAAAGUUAAACUAAACUACUAGGUUACAAAAAAAAAAUAUUCAAAUGGGCAAAAGAUCAAAAUUGAUUUUUUUUAAUUUUUAUAUAAAAGAGCAUAUGUGCUAUCCUAUUAUUUACUAUGCUAUCUAUUUCUAUGUAAGCUAUUAACAAAAACCUAUUAUUACUAUUUAAAAGAAAGGAAAAGAGAAAUCUUAUUGGUCUUUCUCUACUGUGCUUCGCUCCUCUGUGUAGAGUUUCCCUCCAUGCAUGGUCUUCCUCUUGCUAAAUCGUUUGUUACAGCAGCAUCAGCUCUUUCUCAUCAGAUGGCAGCUGCUUCUGCAUUUUCAACUCAUCUUGGUGCAGCAAUAACAUCUUCCUGUUCAAGCCUUGUAGCUUGCUCUGCACAUUCAAGGCCCUUUGAACAAUUUUGACACCAUCUCCUGCCUUUACUAAGGCUGCCAUAAUGCUUGUAGCUUCCUGCUCGUUUAACCCUGUUACUAUAACAUCAUGAACCCUGUUGCUAUAACAUCAAACUCAAAGUGAGCAUGUAUAUCCAUAAAAACAUGUGCAGUUUUGUGAGAAACACUCAUUGAAUACUCAAGCAAGUCAUUAAAAUUCAAUGCAUUCAAAUUAAAACACCCAUUAGUAGGUGUGUUUAUAUGAUUCACAAAAUUCUUAUCCACUAAUUCAGAAUUACCAGGCAUGACAAUAAGAAUAUCAGGCAAGAGUUUCUCAGAUUCAACAUUCACAAGAUUAUCAACAUUAAUUUGCAUCUCACUCAAACAAAAAGAAAGUUCAAAUUCAGAGAAAACUUGUUCUUGCUUCUCAAAAUUAACCUCACUAUCCUCCACCUACACAACAACUGCAUUAUUAAAUCUUAUCACAGAAAGUGAUAUUAGUGCAAGGAUUGUGAACAGCCACAAGUAUGUCAAUAUGUUCUAUUUCAAGUGAUGAAUCACAAGUGUGAGAAUGCAUAGGCAUGAGAGGGACACUAUUCAACGCAGGUUCUAUGAGUUCAACUUUAAACAUAUCAAAAACAUUAAAAUGAGAUUGAACCUCCUCUAUGUCAAUUGGAAUAUUCAGUUUAGAGAAAACCUGCUCUCUUGAUUCACCAGUUGCCUCUCAGGGACAUUUUCAGUCAGCUUGCGCCCCACUUCAUUAACCAGAACUGCAUUCUUGCUUCUAGCGUCUACCACCUCUUUUAAUUCUGUUACAAGAUCAUGAACCACAGGGUUAGUAUGUGCAGAAAAAUCCAGACUAGCUUCAAUAGAAGCACCAUUAGUAAUGAAAUCAACAUGCUCUGCAGGUUCAACUUUAAAAUCAAAAUUUCAUCCAACCACAUUAAAAUCUGAUGCAUCUUGAGUUUCGAAAUAGCAACUAGAAUGCACAAUUUCUGUUAAGUCAGCAACAUAAGUAUUAACAUCAAUUUUCACAUUAAGUGCUGAAGAAUUUAUGCAAACAGAAUCAAGAACAUAAUCAACAUCAUCAGAAAAUGCCUACGACCCCAAAAGCAACACCAAAUGCAGCGUUUCAAUAAUUUGAAAUCAGCCCAAAGGCCCAAUUCAAUUACUGGCAGCAAAGCCUCGUGUGUGUGCAAUCAGCGUCCUGGUGCAUUAGCUUUACUAAUUGGAACAUGGUGUUCUGGUGAUGUGCAGCCCAAAAUUCGGCAACCCAAUUGUUAAGGGUCUGCAGCAAAAAGAGAAAAAGAAAUCAAUCUAAAAUUAAAUAAAAGAAAAUUUUACAAUUAAAAGAAAGAUUUAUUUUUAUUAAAAGAUUUUCUCUAAAAAAAUUACUAAAAUCCUAAUUAUUUACAAACACUAAAUUACUUCUAAAAACCAAAUUUUAACUACAAUUUUACUAAUCUACAAAUUUAAAGAAAAAACCUAAAACAAUAUCAAUUCUAGAAAAUAAAAAGCUAAAACACACUAACAAAAGCUUCUAGUGAAAGAAAAAUAUGAAAAUAUUGAUAGUUAUCACACCCCACACUUAAACAACUGCUCUCCUGGACAGGAACAAACUAAAACUAAAAAGAAAAACAAAUGACUUAACCUACAAAGAAAAAGAAUCAAACUACACAGAAAAGGCUAAAGACAAACUAGGAAACUCUAAAUUCUAAUUCAGCUUAACUCAAACCUGCCAAAUCACAUCAAUUCUAGCUAUUUCAUCAAAUCAGAACUGCACUAAAGAAAUCUCAACUCUAAACUCAAGCUUCAGCAUUUCCAGCAAGUGAGAAACAGUUUAAUCCACUCAAAAUCAGCAAAGACAACAUAUGGAAGAGUAGCAGUCAGCCUCAACCUCACAGGCUGCAGUGUAUGCACUCAAUCACUCAACUGUUUAGGUUAUCCUGUUUCACUCAUUCAUGACAUGCUAACCACCAUUCUCAAUUUUCAAAAGAUUCUAAGUGACCAUGCUCAGCUCUUGGUUUCAUCUAGAUCAAAAGGUCUUAUUGGCUUGUAAUGAAAUGGUAUGAAGGGUCACAAAACACAAGGCUAAAUGGAAAUAGAAACUGGAAGAGAAGUAAAGAACCUAGAACUCAGUGCAUUGUGCAUUUAACUUUGGUCAAUUCAAUUUCUUUGCUCUUUCUCUCUGGUUUUUUCACACUCAGGUCUUAUCUUUUAAUUCUUUUGCAUUUUAGCUAUUUUUCAGACCUGCUCUUUCUUCUUUUUCAUCACAACCAGAUUGCUCAAUCAUUUUUCUUUUUCUUCUCUGGCCUUCUUUUUUUCUUCUCUGGCCUUUCUUUUUUUUUCUUCUCUGACCUUUCUUUUUUUUUCUUCUCUGACCUUUCUUUUUUUUUUCUUCUCUAGCCUUUCUUUUUUUUCUUUUGCACUCACAAAGUUACUAAAUCCUCACUUCCUCUCACAGGUUUCUACAGGUUGGGUAAUGAUGGGGAAUGAAUGGAACAAAGAAUAUGGCUAAAGCUCAAAAGAAAGGUGCAAUGGUAAGAAAAAUUGUAAUGAGUAAAAUAAAUGGUUAUGGAUGAAGAAAAAAAUUGCCUAAAUCAUAUCUAUAUUCUACCAAGAGCAAGCACAUCACAAAGAAUCAAUUUAAAUCUAAAGUCAAGUCUACUUUUGACAAUUCUAAUCUAAGGAAAUGAAGCUAAAAACGAGUGAAAUCAACAAAGAAUGAGGAAAAGCAUAAAUCAGAACCUAAAAGCUCCUAGAAAGACUAACCAUGAUUACCUAAGCUAUUUACAAUCUAAACAACUAAAUGUGUCAUCUCAACCUCAAUCAAAUACCAUAAUCUCAUAAAGCAAAACUUAUCACACAAAACAGAGCAUUGUUAAAUCAAAGCAGUUCAAUUCAUUCAAGCAGAGCACAAUAAAAAUAAAAUAAAAUAGAACAAAAACAAAAAUUAAAAGUAAAAGUUCAGAGAAUUGGGUUGUCUCCCAGCAAGCGCUUCUUUAACGUCACUAGCUUAACCCAAUAAGUUUAUGCCACAUCUUUUAUCUUGGUGUCACCCUUUCCUUCGAUGCACCAACUGGUUUUCAGCAGCUUCCUAUUCACCUUUUUGGUUCUCCUUGAAGUAGGAGAUUCAAUUUCUAUCAACCCAUCAGCUCUGAGUUCUUUCACAACCCAAAACUUUUUGUUGAACUGCACAGGUAAGCUUGGUCUCGGCCCUUCAUGCUCCUUCAGAGGAUUUUGGUGAACACCUGCUCCUUUGUUGUUUCUUUUCUCUUCAUUCACCUGUGACAAAAAACACUUUUUACCUUUCUUCUUUGAUUUAGCAGCCUUGGUACCAGUCCCGGGUGUAUCUUUAAAUGCAACUUUGGGACUAGUUUCCUUCACUUGGAUUUUGUUAUCCAGUAUUGCAGGCAUUGUAGAUUACCUCCUCUUCUUGGUCCUUGAGAGCUAUGGUACCCUCAUCAAUAUUGAUGAUUACUUUGGUCAUUUUCAUGAACGGCCUUCCAAGAAUAAUAGGGAUCUCCGCAUUUUCCUCCAUCUCUAGCACCACAAAGUCCACCAAGAAUCUCAAGUUGUUGAUUUGCACCAUCACAUCUUCUACCACACCAUAAGGUCUUUUGGGGAAUCCAUCUGCCAUGAGAAGAGACAUCCUUGUCGGCUUAACUUCCAAGUCACCAAUCCUUUUGAGAACAGUUAAGGGCAUUAGAUUGAUACUGGAUCUCAAACCAAUUAAGGCAGACUUUCCCUAUUUUGUGGUUCCCAAUGAUGCAGGGAAUAGUGAAACUUCCUGGGUCUUCUACCUUAGGAGGAAGUGUCUUUUGCAAGAUCACACUAUAAUUCCCAUGUAUGUAUUUCAGUUGUCUCUCAGUCACAUAAAUUUUUAUCCCCAAUUCUUUGGAGAUCUCAUCAAAACACCAUGAUUGCAUGGAAUAUUUGUCAGGAUGGUGGAAACUUUUCUCAAAUUUUUUUACUUUUUUCUUCUUCUCUCUCAACCUCUUCUUCCUCUUUUUCUCUCUUCUUUCUCUUUUUUAUCAACUCAUUUUUUCUUUUCUUUGGUCUUUUUCUUCCUUUUUUUUUACAUCUCUUUUUUUUUUCUUUUCUCUCAUUCUUUUCUUUUUCUCUCUUCCUUUCUUUCUCUUUUUUUCCUCUCAUUAUUCAUACUUACAAUAGUUUUAUAUUCUUUGGGAUUAACUUUAGCAUUAGCUCUAAAAUCUUUGAAGGACAUCUCCUUCAACUGCUUGGCUAUUUGUCCUACCUGUAUUUUCAAGUUCUUGAUGGCACCGUCUAUGCUUUUGUGGAUGGACAAGGUUGCGAUUAAAAAGUCUCUUCAAGCCUUGUGAUUAUAAUUAUUAGGACGGAAUUAGUUAUCCAUGUAAUUGACUUCCUGAUUAAGAUUCUCAAACACCGCAGAUUGACUAUUAAUAUAAUCACUACCACAUAGUUGUUGAUGGAUCUAUGCCACAUUCUAAAGUUCCUUCUAUGGCUUUGUCGUCUUCUUAGUCAAGAUCUCCAACUGUUGAUUGAUAAUCUUAUUUUGAACAAGCAAAGGCAUGAAGUUGAAAAACCCCUUUAGGUUAGGAGUUUCACUUUAUUGUAGCCAUAUUUUCAAAUAAUUCAUAGGUUUCCUUUGGGGUCAUGCCCUUGCUGAGGCUUCCUUUUGUUAAUUUGAUUUUGGUUUUAAAAUUUAUAUUUGAAAUCCGGCUUUAAAUUUUUGCUCAUGUAAAAUAAUACGUUGUUAAUUCUAUCAAUUACAUCAUGUUGGUCUUCGUUGAACUUAAUUUGCUCAUUAGUAUGCCUUUGGGUAAGGACUUUCAUAAGUAAAUCUGGAACUUUCGAAAUUUCUACUUUUAAAACUUUCUACAUAAUCAGUAAUAAAAAAAUUGGCACGUAAAUUGGCGUGUCCAGAUUCAAGGAUCUCCAUUAACUACGUUGUUAAAAAAACUCGAAGAAUUGUGGUAAUUUGCACACAUGGGGUUGAAAAAAUAUACACUUAAUAUACUCCACAUACACAGUACAAAAUCAAUUUCUAUAUCAAUAAAAUAAAUAGUACACAUAAUACGCGGUAAAAAUAGAGAAAAUCAAAUUUAUUCUAAGCAAAAACACUAAAAUUGAACUCAGACAUCUAAGGAAGGAUAAAAGCUGCAGUAGUUCUCAAGCCUGGCGAAGGCGAAAACUCUUUGGCGGCCACCGCGAAUAUUCAUCGGGAAAAGCCAUAGCAUUUGUCAUCAUUGCCGAUCAUCAUCACACGUUCAUGGCAUUCACUUAAUGCUGACACAUUUAAGUACGAUUCCACACAAUUUAUUUACAAUUUUAAGAGACUAGUUAUAGAUAAUUUUGUUUAUCUUUGUAGAUAAAUGAACUAAAAACCAGAUAGAGAAAAAAAGAACGAAAGUACAAAUCAAACUCUCAGACAUCCAAGGAAGGAUAAAAGCAGCAUCAGCUCUCUAGCCUGGCGAAGGCGAAAGCUCUUAGGCGGCCACUGCGAAUGUUUAGAGAAACAAGCCUUAGAAUAUGUCAUCAUCGAGUUGUUGAAGCACGAACAAAAUACACAACAAUUAACAGUGAAAAUUACAAUUUCAAUAAAUAAAACAAAAAAAAAAACUAUACAAAAAAGCUGAAUCAAGAAACAAAAAUUCUCAGACAUCCAAGGAAGGAUAGAAGCAGCACAAGCUCUCAAGCCCGGCGAAGGCGAAAGCUCUUAGGCGGCCACUGCGAAUGUUUAGAGAAACAAGCCUUAGGAUUUGUCAUCAUCGAAUGAAUAGAAAUUUACAAAAUAACUAAGUUUAUGGAACUCCACAAAUCAUUCAUGCAAUCAUAACAGAUAAUAGUAAUUACAAAAGAAUAAUCAUCAAAGCAACAGCUGUGAAGUCUCAGACAUCCAAGGAAGGAUAAAUACAGCACUAGCUCUCAAGCCUGGCGAAGGCGAAAGCUCUUAGGCGGCCACUGCGAAUGUUUAGAGAAACAAGCCUUGUUUGGUAUCAUCACAGACAAUUCAUAGCAUAGCUAUAACUGCAACAGGAUAGCAUGCAUUGAUUAAAAAUUGACAAUUACAGUAAAUGGGUUUAACAAUGAUAUAUCAAAUGUUCCACCCUAUAAUGAUCAGCAAGACACAGAAAAAAGAGCUGACAAAGUGAAAAGGAUGGAUGAAUUGAAUGUUAGGGACAUGUUCAUCCCUAAAGCACUCGGAGGCACUGCUAAAGGGGCAGACGUAAAGUCCCAAAAAUUCAAGUAGCAAAUUCGAAAUAAAACAUGACAAAACCAAAUCAGACAAUAGUAAUAAAAAUACAUAGCAUCAGACCAAUCUAAAACCUAAAAAUUAAGAUUUAGUGCGUAAUGAAUGAAAAGGAAUCUAAAUAAAACAUGACAAAACCAAAUCAGAUAAGAGUGAUAAAAAUAUAUAGCAUCAGACCAAUCUAAAACUUAAAAAUUAAGAUUUAAAGUGUAAUGAAUGGAUGGGUCAUCAGAUAGGAGCGAAAGACUAAAACUAAAUAUAAUCACAGAUAAAUCAUCUGAACUAUGCUUAUGAUCAUCAUAUGACCCUUCCAACAUAUUUGUAACACAAACUCAAUACAAAAAAAAAAUUAAGUUUAGACAACAGAUUACAAACAUCAUGCAAAUAAAAAAAAGAAAACUGUAGCAAAAGAGCCUCAGAAGGAAGGCAGUAGUGAUUUCGUAAUCAUGAAUAUCAUCCAUUACUAUUCACUAAAUCAUUCAUCAUUGGCAAUGAAAAACAGAGAACUUAGGAUUCCUAAACUAACAUAACUUAUCACCAUCUAAACUAAGGUGAACAAAAACACAAUCACUCAACAAAGAGAAACAUCUAUAGGAAAAACGUUGAUAGUUGGCCUCAUAGAGAAGAUUAGUUUGAUCCACAUGGAGUAGUUCAGACAUAUGCUUGUCUAUUAUUUAUAAUUUAAUCAUAGGCCAAUCCAAGAGUACAAAUCUUGCUAUUAACCACACUAACAAAUAUGGAAGAAGAACUGAAAAAUAAAAUAAAAACAGAAACAUUAAUCAAGUAAAAUUCAAUGGAAAAAAAAGAAAUGAGCGAAGAAGGGACUCAGAAUAUGGGUGGUGAUAUAGCAGGAUGGUCGGCAAGGCCAAUGAGGCCAAUUACGACGAACGAGACCUUAUCACAGAAUCAUCCCAGUCCAAUCCGAUCUGAUUUCAACACAUACUACAACAAUCAAUUGUAACAAUCAGAAAUGUAAAACCAAACAAUCAGAAAAGAAAAAAAAAUAGAAUCUCAUGAAUUGAGAGUGUAAAAGAAACCCUAGCCUCUUGAAGAAUAUAGAAUGGAGGGGGCGUAGAGAGUGUUUAUAAAGGGGGGAAGGAGAUUUGCUGGCUAGGGUUUUGGGUGAGUAGAUGUCUCUAGAAUGUGCGGAUGAUGCGUUCUCCUUAACCUGCGCCGCCAAAUAAUAACCUAAACAUUUUCUUAAAGAUGUCAAAAUAAAUGAAAAAUAAUUUUUUUUUCUGCAUCUAUUUUUUUAUUAAAUAAUGUCAAUUGAUAUAUAUAUAUAUAUAUAUAUAUAUAUAUAUAUAUAUAUAUAUAUAUAUACUGUGUAUUAUAAUGAAAUUAUUUUUACGACAGGAGUUUUAAUUAUAUAAAAUGAUAUAUUCAAAAAAUUUAUAAUUUGAUUUUAUUUAAAUAAUAUGAACAGUUACUUAUGAUUUAGUUUUUUUAAAAUUAAUAAACUUUGUGGUAAAAUUAUAAAGGAUAAAAUAGAAAAUGUUCAUUAAACGUACCAUUUUUUAUAAAUGGUUAUUAAUUAUUUUAUGUAUGUGUAUAUAUAACAAAUUCACGUUAAGAUAAUUUUAUAAAAUUAAAUAUUAAAAACACUACAAAUCUAAUCCUAUUCCAAAAUUAUUAGAUUUAUACAGUAAAUAAAAAAUAAUAAUUUGUAUAUACAAAAUGGAGAAAAUUAUUUACAUGUUAUAAUAGAAAAAUAUUUUUUACACAUUUAUUAGAGAAUGUUUAUAUAUUAUUGUAGGUGUAAAGAUAUAAUUUAAAAAGAAAAACUUAAUUAAUUACUAAGAGAUAUAAUAAAAAACGCUAUGUCACGUCUUAUUUGUAUAUAGCCACGAGGUAGUAGAGACUCAUAAUGAUUUAAAUUAAAACUUUAAGCAUUUAAUCAAAUAAAAUAUUAAGAAAUGAUUUUUUUAAAAUUAAAAUAAUCAUUUUAUCUUUUAAAUAUUUAUUUUAAAUUAAAAUAACUAUUUUCUCUUUGUCUUUAAACAUUGUUAUUUUUUUUAUGUGAUCUUUUUUAAAUUAAACUACUUUUUAUUAUAAAAAAUAUUUACAAAAUAAAAAUUAUUUACAUAAAAGUUAUUUAUAUUUAAUUUUAUAAUUAUAAUGAUUAUAAAAAUAACAAUAAUAAUAAUUUUGUUAUUUUUAUUAUCAUAAAAAAAAGUGGUGAGACUAGGAAAACGAGAUAGAGAAGUCAAUAGUAAGAAUUUCAAAUUUAAAGAUUGAAGUUAAGAUGUCAAGAUCGAAAAGAUAAGGUUGAAAAGGUUGAGAUCGAAAGUUCGAGAUUAAGAGGAUCAAAUCGAUAUGAGAAGAUCAAUAAGUCAAAACCAAAAGGUUAAGGUCGAGAGGAUGAGGUUCAAAAGGUCGAGAUCAAAAGGAUGAAGUUAAAAAGGUCGAGACCGAGAGGUCAGGGCCAAUAGGUCAAGAUCGAGAUGUCAAGGCCAAUAGGUCAAGAGUGAAAGGUUGAGAUUGAGAGGUUGAGAUUAAAAAAGUUGAGGUCAAUAGGUUAAAGCUUGGAGGAUAAGAUUGAAAAGGUUGAAGUUGAGAAGUUGAGGCUAGCAAGUUGAGGUUGACAAGUUGAGGCUAGCAAGUCGGAGCCAAUAGGUUGAGACUUAGAGGUCGAGAGCAAAAAGAUGAGACUGAGAUCUAAAGAUUGAGAAGUCGAGAUUAAGAAGUUGAGGCUGAUAGGUUAAGCCUAAAAGGACGAGGUUGAAAAGGUUGAGGCAGAAAGGUCGAGACCGAUAUUAGGAUAUUCCUCCUUGGAAUUCCAUCUAAUACAUCAAGUCCCAAGAUAACUUUUCAAUCAUGAAUCCAUCCAAUAUUUUCAUCAAAUUAUUCCAUACAAUUUAGCUUAACAUACAAAAACAUAAUUAUUGAUAUUUCAUAUCACACAUUUAAGAUAAAAUGUACACACACAUAUACAUACAUACAUAUAUACAUACAUACAUAUAUAUAUAUAUAUAUAUAUAUAUAUAUAUAUAUAUAUGAGUGUGUGUGUGUAAAUAUAUUAUAGAAUCUUUAUAUCACUCAAAUGAUUUAUAUGGAUUUAAUGAAUUUCAAAUUAAUUUGCACAUUCUCACUCGAGUAUUUAAAGAUAUAAAUGUCAACUUGACAACAUGAAUACAAAUAGUUUGAGAUUUUAUAAAUAAAACUACAACUUUUUCAAAAGUCCAAAAAUUAUGUUCUAUUUUCAAAUUAAAGAUGAUUGAAUAAAAAAUGCAAUGCAAUGCAAAAAAAAAAUCAACCAAAUUGAGUAAUUGUGGAAAAAAUUAUAUACCCAAUAAGAAUCAAAUAUAAAAGUUGUUAACAAUUCAAACUAUAAGAAUCUUACACGAAAAACUUCUCUAACUACAUAUAUAACUCCAAUUGAAGAUCCAAAAAGUCAAAAUAAAUAACCAUAUGUAUAGGGUCAUUUAUUAAAAAUUCAAAUUGUUUCGAUGAUUAAUGAAGUGAGAAUCUAUGUUUUAUUAAGAUGGCACAAUGUAAGAAACUAGGUGGCACCUAAUGCUGAUAGUGGUGCUUAGCAUUAACGAGACAAUGAACCAACGACAAAUUGGCGCUGACCAUAGUAAAUACCACCCAACGAUGUAACUCCAAAGGUUUGUUGUUUUGGGUUUCAAAACCCAAUGUCAAAUGGUAACAUGACAACAACUUAAAAAUACCAUUUCCAUACCCCCAAAUCUUACAUGUAAUGACUUAAAUUCAUGCAUUUCAAACCUGUAGUGUAAGGGAUAGCCGGUCUGGUGGAGAUGGUAUAAUUUAACUUAUGGUCGAUUAAGCGAAGACAGCAAAAUAAAGGUUGGGGAGUUGAUCGAGAAGGCAGGUAGGCCGAUCGGUUAAAUAGACAAGAAAUGCAGUCAUAGUGUAACAAGGUUAUUGAACCAAGCGAGGUGAAUAUUGCGGGCACGUUGGCAACAAUUAUAAUUGAGGGGCGAAUUUUGCGGGAUUAUGGAUCAACAGUUACGUGUAGUUAAUGCCCACUACUUGAAUCUGAUGUUUAUAAAUAUAGGAAUGCGAGUCAGGUACUUUACUUUGGAUCUAAUUGCUUUUUACACUCAUUCUGCUGUGACUUUGCUGACUUGAGCAUCAGAGUGCUAAUGUGCAGGUCACAACCGAUCGGUACCAGUGGUGAAAAGAUCUUUGGAGAGAUACAACUAGGACAACGGCUAAGACAGUUGGGAUUGUGUUCGGUUUUGGGCCUUACAUCCGAAACAAAACCCAAUGCACCGAAUAUAUAUUUUUAUAGCACCCCAUCAAUCAAAACUCAUAAAAUUCAAACAAUAUAACCAAACAAAGUUAGUUUCCUUACUUGUAAAAAGGGGAAACCCAACUCUAUCUUUUUACACCGUCCCUAUACUUUCCACACUUUUAAAAGCUCUAAAACAAAAGAUUAAACUUGUAUCAAGGACAUGAAAAUACUAUUUGAUUCACAACAAUUACAAGAUUAAAUAAAAAGAGUCUAAUAACACAUGUAGAGCCCAAACUACACAUGCAUGUAGAAUACUUGGUGACAUGAGAGAAUUAAAAUAAAAGGAGGACUUACUCUUUGAAGAGAAAUUGGAAAUGAAGAAGCUUUAUUCCUCUACUGAAGAGUUGUAUGAAAUUGGGUGAAUGAUAUUUGAAAAGGGAGAAACUUUUCUCCUUAGAGUGUUGUUGUUAAGAGUAUGAAAGGAAAAGUUAGAAAAGAAGGAAAGAGAGGAAAAGAAGAGAAUGAAAAACAGGGGAUGACCUUUUACGCCUUUCAUAUAUAUUCUUCAUUAUAUAAUUCUCAUGCAUUUCUUAUUUUGUGUUCAGAAUUAUAAAGCAUUGAAUAAAAUUUUAUAUUUAAAAUCAUAUAUUUUGGAAUACAAUUUGUAUUUGGAUUAUACAAUUUAAAUUACAUUAUAUGAUACAAAUAUGUCUUUCAAAUUGUAUAUUCCAAAAUAUAAAAUUAUUCAUAUUUAAUGUUCCUAAUUGUAUAAUUCAAAACAUUUUUAAUUACACAAGUCAAUAAUAAAACUUAAAAUUCCAUAUUAUAGGAAAAAAUUGGAAUUUUCAAACUUACAUAAAUGCAUAUUAAAAUCACAUGAGUACAAGAAGAAAUAAUCUAAAUUUAUAAACACAAAGUGAAGUCUAAGGUCGUGUUCUCAUGGAGCAAUUUAUUAUUGAAAGAAAUUAGGAGAGUCAUAUUUACAUUGACUGUGCAUGUUUGUUUUGACAGAAAACAUGUGGGAUUGAUAGAGAUUUAAAUCCUCGCAUAAAUAAAAAAAAUCCAUGAUGAUAUUUAGAGUGCUUUGUGUGAGAUGAAUAUUGAUUCUAGGAUGACCUAAUCGAUUCCAUGGGAUGAAAUCUAAUUCCAUAAAUAGAAGAACCAAUUUCAAAAUAUAGAAAUCGAUUCUUUACUUUAGCAAUUCAUGGUGUGGGGUUAAAUAUGACAUGCAUAAUAUGUUUUGCAAGUGAGAACUGAUUUCAUAUAUAUACAUAGAUAAUUAUGGGUUGAGGGGAAUCAAUUCCAUAUAUAUGGUUACGAGUUGAAACCAACAUGGUAUAAUAUUUGUUGUAUUCCAUAUAUAUAUAUAUAUAUAUAUAUAUAUAUAUAUAUAUAUAUAUUAUAAUAAUAAUAGUAGUAGUAAUAAUAAAUAAUAUAUUAAUUUCAAUUACAUGGACAAAAUAAUAAUAUUACAUCUUAUUCUAUUAAAUUCUUUUUUAUUUAAUUAUAUUUAUGAGAAAUUUUCAUGAACUUUAUUUUUAAAUCUCUUCAUUUUUACUUAUUUUCAAAUCCAUUUUCACAAAUCAUCCUUUAUGACCUAUAACCUAAAUUUGAUCACUUGAUAAAAUUAGAUUUGCAUGAAAAUAUAUAUUAUGUAAGUCACACGUCCAAAUCAUAUUUUAAUCACAAUAAAGAAAAAUUACACCAAGCAAAAGACAAUUCUAACAUAUUUUCAUUCUACCACUUUUUGCAUCGAGAAGAUGAAGAUUUUUCCUUCCAUGGAAGCUGGUAAAUAAACUUGGGCAUUUUUUUUUUAAUUGUGAGCUAAGAAGUUCUGUAGUCUUUGUUGGUCAAACAAUUGAAAGAGUAAUACGCGUAUGACUAAUUAUUUGUUUUUGACCCAUGCAUUGUGAAUGUUAAAUGAAUGUUUAAACCAAAACAUAGCAUUGUGCGAAAGCAUGUCUUGACUGGUCCAUUUGACAACCAUCUUUUACCAAAACCGUCAUAGUUCAUUUCCCACGGUGACAAAGAGACCAACUAAUGCAAAUUACUUACAUCAACCACCAUGAUUAAAAUUAGCUUGGAUUUUAGUGGGAAGGUUCGUCCUAAUCUUCGCUAAUUCAUCCUAAUCACAUUAUCUUCUAAUUAUGUUCAAUCGUGACUGCACAAAGUUCGACGCAUAAGUUUAUAAAACAAAAAGGUAUUGGAAAUUAAUUUUAUAUUGGUAUAAUCUUUUUUGCCUAAGAACAUAUUUAAGUAAGAGCGUAUUAAUCAAUCGAGUUAAGCAUCUCCGGAAAUGAGAUUUCAAUAAUUUAAAGAUAAUAUUAAUUUGCAUAAUUUAAUAUUGCUCAUGGUAGGAAUUUUGUUUUUAUUUUAUUUUUAUCUUAGGAACAAGAAGCACACGUUAAGCCAGCCUACCAUUUGAAAUUUCCAACUUUGAAAUAUUCAAUGCAUAUAUUUUUUCCAAACACAAGUUUUUAUGAAUUGAUUUUUAACCAUUAUAAUUUUUUUUUCAUAUGCAUAUAUUUUUUCCAAUGCAUUAUGAAUUGAUUUUCAAUAUUCUUUUAUUAAUUUGUAAAAACAACUCAUAGUACAUUUAGACUUGCAUCAAAUUUCGGAAAAUUUCUAGAAAUUCAUUAACAGAUAGUCACAGCUUUCACUUGCCCCAUUUUUAAGGGGGUUAUGUGUUCUCAAGGUGGAACCAGAUAGACUGCUACAAUUAUAAAAAGUGGAAUGAAAUAAACAAUUGCAGUUUGAAUGACAUAAAAAGAGAACUUUUUUUUUUUCUUUUGCAGACAUUGAUUUAUAUUUUUGUUGGAGAGAGAGAGAGAGGAGGAGAAGGAGAGAAGAGAUAGGUGAAAAUAAAGGUGGUGUAAGGUUACGUGUAUGUUUUGAAGUAGUGUCACCCCAUCAAUAAUAAGAUCACUCAAAUCAGCAAUGCAUCAUUGUUGGAUCCAAAGCUGGAUUAAGUUGGAACUGGGCCUUCUUCAUUCUUCUGUUCUGCUGCCACAAUCUCAGCCUUAGAUAACAGAUUGUUACAAUACAAAAACCUUGUAACGAAGAAGAACAACCGAGAAGAACCAUCGAUUAAGGAUGUUGGAAGGCAAAGCUUUGGUGAAAGAAACAGACAUGUCACCCAAGAUGCAGAUCCAUGCCAUGGCCGCUGCUUCUCAUGCCCUUGAUCUCUACGAUGUUUCUGAUUGCAUUUCUGUUGCUGCCCAUAUCAAGAAGGUGCCUCUCUUUCAUCUUUCUUUCUAUUUUUUUUUUUUUAUUUUCUCUUCUCCAAUCAUUUUUUUUUAUCUCAAGGCUAGAUUUUGUUCUAUGGGGUGCAUGUGUUAUUUUGUAUUGAUUAUUUCUUUGUGGUGUUUGAUUUUUCAGGAAUUUGAUAGUGUGUAUGGGAAUGGGUGGCAAUGUGUGGUGGGAUCGAAUUUUGGGUGCUAUUUCACCCAUUCAUCGGGAACUUUCAUCUAUUUUGCUCUGGAGACUCUUAAUUUUCUUAUCUUUAAGGGGUCAUCUUCUUGAUUUAUGCUAUGUACAAUCUGAGAUAGAAUCCAGGGUUUGGUUAUGAGAGAAAGAAUAGGUUUUUGAUUCUUCAUCUGAUUAUGGUUCCAUGCAGUAGCAGAAUAUUUGAGACGUGAGAGCAUGGAACAAACUAUGUAUGGAUGACUCAUGACAUGUCUCCAUCAUCUUGCCUCUCAAAUCGACCAUUUCGAUCACUCUGGAUUCUCCUAUGUAAAUGCAUGUAUCGCUCCAGCUAUGAUUAAGAUGCUGUCUCUGCUUUAUGUAUAACAAACAGAAAUAAAACUGUCUCAGCUUCAUAUUAUUUGAGGGAGAGUGCUUAUGUUUUAAACGAGUGUCCGUAUAUUUCUGUUUUCAAAACACAAUCGAUCAUUAAAUUUCUGACAAUCAUAUUUCUAAUAAAAAUGUUGUCAUACUAAUACGCAAAACUGAUACUUGAAAAUAUUAAAAAGACAAUAUUUAGCAAAUAAGAAUAUAAAGAGAAAUGAAAAGUUUGUGAAAGGAAAAAGGUAUUAAAAUUAGACAAUAAUUUUUCCUAAUUAUUUGAGUAAAAAUUCAAUUAAGCUAAUAAAUUGAUCACAAGGUCCUCAAUUAAUCCACUUAUAAGGAGGCUCUCUAUUUUAUUGACUACCAGUUGAGCCUCAUCUGCACAAAAGCCUGUUCUCCAACCACUUUCCCACAUUCCAUUUAUCUCUUCCUUGCACUUCAUGUCUUUCUCCAUCAUUGCAAAUGUGUCAUUGUACGCAAAAUCUUCCUCUCUACAAGCAUAAUCUUCUCUGUAAAAUUUCAGAUUCUCAAUGCCAUCACAGAUUUCUUCCACCAACUUGCAUAAGGAGAUGCGUAAUCUUGAGUUUCCCCCACAUGCCAGCAAGAGAGAACGAACGACUUCGGAGUCUUGAAGACUUUUACGUUCUGUCAGUUCAUAAGCGCAAUCCAAGUAAAGCCUCAUGUUUGUCAUGCUGUAAAUGGUUUCAUCCUUUUCUAGGGUGUUGUGAUGAUCCACAUCAAGAUUGAAGAGCUUCUUUGCAUGUCCUAUGAAUGAUGGACUCGUUAGAAGAAAAUGUUUCAGCUCUGUCCCUUCUCUGUCAGCGUCGACGCUAUAAGCAUUGAUAUCAUCAUUUUUAUAUUCAGUUUCUGUGGUGUCAAAACGAGACAAAUAAGUUACACAAAGACACAGAAUGAAAAUGCAUGUUAUGUGAUGAAGUUCUCGAUUUAUUCCUAGGUGUAAGCUUAGGAUAACAUAAUACAAAGCAAUGACUGAAUUACGUUGUAAUAGUAGAACUACUGUUUCCGACAUAACUUUCUCUAGGUUAGAAAUAUUGAUCAUCCAAUAAAAUAUAGAUGAAAGAAUGCUCUUUUUUGGACACAAUUUCUUCGGUAAGAAAGGAACCUUAAAAUAAUUAUUUUGAUAGAGACGGACCAAGACAACUAGAAAGAGGCAAAAAAAGUCCCUGCAGAAAUCUACCAAGAAUUCAAGGUGAGUUUACCCUUGAAAAACCCAACAAAGAUCAAUGGUUAGAUCCAUGGUAGCAGUACAACUUUUGGUUUUUAUCAGAAAUUAGAAAAUAUAGUAACUUGUUUCUGUAUUGUUCAAGAAAUUAAGAAGGCAAGGCAUUCUACUUCCAUAUAUUUGAUAAGCAUAAACACACAUACGAUGCAUCCAUAUAAAAUGCAUUUUUAGUUUCAUUUCAAUUAUGCCAGCAGGAAUAGCUUGAAAAACUUACCUCCAAUCUUAUUUAUGAAGGCAUCUGCUUCACACACCAUCAGGAGCUCAUUUUCUAGUCUAGUGGAGAUUCUAAUCUCGGGGUAAUUUUUCUUCUUUUCUCUCUGCCUGGUUUGUUCAACCUAUGCAUAAGAAUUGUAAAUUCAGACUCAGAUUGAAAAUCUCACUUCAUUAUCUGGUUAAUAUAUAUAUGCACAGAAUAAAAGGCAAACUUACAUUUAGUUUAGCCAGUUCUGGCUCAGCAACAGGGCUUUGUUUUUUCAUUUGAUUCUUUCUACCUGUUAAGGAAUCUACCACGGAAUUAACUUUUUUAUUCUCAACUUUGACGUCCUUGGAAUUCGUAGUUUUUUUAGUGGAGAUGUUGUUUGAACCUCUACUCUUUAGGCAGGAAAUCUCAUUCUUGUCGAUUCUGGAUCCACUUUUCAGCUUCCUCAAUUUUGUGGAGGGGAUUUCUCGUUUGUACUGAUGUUCUGCCACAAUUGUUGGUUGUGAGAUAUCCUUUUCUGUCUGUUUUCUGCUAAUGGGCCGUACCUUCCAUUUUCUAUCAAUUGUCUCAUUUACAUGUGAUGUAUGACCAAUGUGACAAUACAGUUUUACCUUACCCGCAUAUUCUUCAACAGGACUGCUUCCUUUUGCAUCCACUUUAAUAACCUCUUUGAGAAAUUUUGGUUCUCCCUCUUUCUUAAGCCGUUUCCUAAUACCCUUUUCCAUUCCUUUUCCCAUGUUGGUGGAACUGGAACCUUUUCUAUGUUUGAUAGUUUUGGAAGAGAGUAUUUCUCUUCUCAGUUUUGUCAACUCCUUUGGAAGAACUGGAAUAUAGGCACUUUUUUCUGAUUGUUGGUAAAUUGUACAUUGAGGUUCCGUAGGUGAAAUGUGAGAUAAAUCAACAAACUGCUUGGAACUGGUGUCAUUGAAAUGAUGAUGCACAUGAAGCUUAGAAUCUUUCACAAAAUUCUCCUUAAAAAUACCUUUGAAAUGCGUAGUCUCAAGAGUUUCCCUCACGACUUUUAGUUCUGGAUUAACCUUCUCAGCUGUAGAAUCAUUGUUUCUGACCUUUGACUUAUCUAUCUCACCACCCAAUAGUUUUUGCUUAGCAGCUGGAAAUGAUUUUGAGGGGCCUUCUUCUAAACCCAUCAGCUUGAAAACUAGGCUAGGUCCUUUUUCAAUCCUUGAAGCAAUUACUGAUAAAGAAGGAUCAAAAAGGCUGUCAGUCUUGACCCCAGAACAUUGGCUUGUGCUUAUACGAAAAGUUUCUGAAGCUGAAUUAAAUCCGUCAGAGGUCUUUGGAAACAUAUUUUGCCUAACCAAACUCUCCUUAAUCACCUUCUUAAGUUCCUCUUUGCAGUUAAUUGAAGAACCACCAGCAGAAAGCUGUGGUCUUUGAAACCCCUUUGUAUUACUUUGUUCACCUAAUGGAUUAGCCUGCCUUAUACCAAUCUUGUUUUCAUCAAUUCUGUCUCUUUCUGGUUUCUCAGUCUGUUUUCUCACAAAAGGAGCUGUAUGUUGUUGUGCGGCCUCCUCUUGCAACUUGCGAAGCAUGCUUAGAGAAUCUUGCAGACCAAGAGCCCCUUUUAAAAUACCUUUUGCUAUAUCUUCCGACUUUCCUUCACAUAUAAUAUCUCUAGACCAUGAAUCUAGCAUAUUUUUCAAGCUAUGAUCCUCUUCGGAGACCUUUGUGAGCUGCAAAGAUGAUGGACCAACGAGAUUUCCAUCGCAUUCUUUGGCGACCUUCUUCUCCUCUUUGUAUCUCUUGUAGAUCAAGGAUGUUUCCAUUAUUUCACUUGUCUUCUGCAUUUUUGUCUUGUCCUUCACUUUGUGAGAACGAGUUCUGUAUUUCCUGAUUGUCCCACAUCCCACAACUCCUUUUGGAUCAUCACAUUUCAGAAAUGAUCUAUACAUGGCUUAAUCCUUGUUUUCUGUCACAAAUUUCAUCAACAGACUGAAUUUGUUUAUAUGCUAAAACACUCAACAAUUCUAAUAAUUUUUUACAGAAUAUAUACUUACAUGGUCUAGUCCCCUUGAAUUUCACUGUUUUAUAGCGGACAUAUCAUACUUGUUUGUCACUUUGUCCCACUGAAACAUAUGCAAUUAAGCAUUUAAAUAGCCACUUAAAUAAUCAGUCCCCAAUGUCAUCCAAUAUGAACACACAUCAAAGAAACAUCAGCAAAGGAAAAGAAAAGAAAAACAUGUCCGUAUCGUAACAUUUAAGAUUUAACUGUAGACUAAGCUAUUGCAUAUAUAUAUAUAUAUAUAUAAUAUGUAUGUAUGUAUGUAUAUAUAUAUAUAUAUAUGUAUGUAUGUAUCCUACUUUAUUCUCGUAGUAACCAUUUGUAGACAGAGAGAGUUGAUCAUUGAGUUAAUCACCACUGAACUCAUAAGGGAUAUAGUACAUAAAUUUUAUUAAAGAACAAUAAAAAUAGCUAAAUUGAAGGGCGAAAGAAAAUGGUAACGUCCGAUGAAGAUUUCUCAGUGAAAACACAAACUCUCUUUUCCUUGAUUUCUUAAUAUUUUUUUUUCCCCAAAAAUACAACAUAAAGCUCAAAAGCGCAAAAAGGGAGUCAUGGUUUCAUGCAUACGUACCCUUUUCUUGACAUUAAUCCCAAACGAUGUCGUGCAAAGCAGAGAUGUCAGAAUCAGCAGAACAAACAAGAUCGCAUAGCCAAGAGGAGGAAGAAAGUGAUGAAAACAUAAAAAGAUGUGUUGCUAUGCGAAUGAGGAAGCAGUCCUAUAGUAGAGACUGAUAGGGGCAACACACGUGUAUGAUGGAUGGAUACAUAUUUAACAUAACGAAAGUGUUUGGAUUACUUUCCAAAACACGGUUAUGAGCUGAAUAGGUGGAGUACAGUUGCUUACUUGCUUUAUUUAUUGGGAUCAAUUAAAGAUUAUGAAUGCAAUAAAUGAGAGAUGAUGGUUUUGGUCGUAGACAUGUUGCAGAGUACAAGGAAACAUAAAUGUCUCAGUUACACACUGAAUGGAAAGUGGAAACAGGCACUGCAUACUAGUUGGUGAAGCCACAAAAAUCAGUUCAAAACAUUAGUACUGAUUCCCUUUUUCUUUUCUAUGCAAGACUUCUGCAAUGAAUGAUCAUAAAAGGAUGUGUUUACUUUUCAUGUGGGCUGUGGAGAUUCAACACUCCCAUCAUAUUUCCUCACUUAAUUGUGAUUCAUUUGGCUAAUCAAUGAUUUGAUAUACGCAAAGAUUGUUGCUUUCUCGCUAGCAUGACGAAAGGGUUGAGCCAAGUCAACUUUAAUUAGUGUAAAAAACUUCCAUGGUCGCGGCAUUUCAAAGAGAAACAAGUGGGAGAGAGAUCAAAACGAACAUAAAAACGAGUGGAAAUAAGGAUGUUUGAUUUACGGAGAAGAACAAACGGACAGAGGAAAAAAUAAUAAUGAAAAGCUUAACUUAAUUGUAUUUAUUCAAAAUGAAAUAAUUAAUUUAUAUUUAGUGAAGUUUAAUUUUUAUCAUGACAAGUCAUUAAUGAAUUUUAAGACGUUAGUAUAAUCUGAGAUGUUGAAAUUUAUAAUAAUGAUAUAAUCAAUUGUUUACACUCUUUUACGUUUUCCUUUGACAAAACUGAGUUAAUUGAAUAUUAUUUUUUCAUAGUUAGUGGUGUAUUUCAACGUAAUAAUGUUUAACUUUUUAUAGAAAAAGGAAACAGUUACAUCGGGUUGAGGUAGCUUAGUUUACUACUAUAGAGUCUACUAUAUAUAUAUAUAUAUAUAUAUAUAUAUAUAUAUAUAUAUAUAUAUAUAUAUAUAUAUAUAUAUAUAUAUUGCGUUGAGUUGAGUUCGUUUCUUUUUAAAUUUCAGUUAUUUAAUAAAAUAUUACUUUUUAUGUGAAGUGAGAACAUAAUUAUUUUUUAUGACAACGAAAAAGUAAUUAUUCAUAGUAAUAUAUUAAAAUAAAAAAAACUGAAAAAUAUAAUAAAUAAUUCAUUUAAAAUUAUACUGAACAAGAUUAAACGUUUUUCUUGGUUUACAUAAAAAAGUCUUAAACAACUAUCAUGAAAACAAAUAAUUAAUUACUAUUUUAAAUACAGAACAAAAGCAAUACUUCUUCAGCAAUUAAUAAAAAAUGUAUAUAUAUUAAAUUGUAUAAAAACAUAUUAUUAAAAUAUUAUUUAAUUUUUUAUUUUUAUUUUUAUUUUACGAAUUUCAAAUCAAACAUACAAAUUUUUUCUCUAUUUUUUGUAAUUACGUACCCUUUCCAAGUUUUCUUAUCUUGUCAAACAUACAUUAAAAAAAAUAUAAAAAAUGAAAAUAGAUUAAAAAAAUAGAGUAAAACUAAGUAAAAAAUCACAUUUUUAAUGAUUUCCUGGUUUUCCUUGUCCCAGACACAUUAUUAUCUAUUUAUUUUUCUCAUAUUUCUUUCUUCUCCACACUAUUUUCACUCUACCAAUAAAAUUUCUAGAUAUAAUUAAUAAUAAUUAUUCUUUCGAACCAAUCCUUGUGGGGCAUUUCCAUUUUAUUUUUUAUAUCUGGUCAACUCUACCGCUUAAUCAUCAAAUUUUUCGGUAUUCAAUUAGUUUAAAUUUAAAGGACUUAAUCCCACCUAUAUUUAUCACUGAAAAAAAAAUCAAUGAUAUAUAUAUAAUUUUAAAUAAGUUAAUUAUUAUAAUUUUUUCUUUAAACAAAAAGUUAUGUUGCUUUAGAAUUUUAAUAAAAUGAAAAGGAACACAUUACUCUUAAAAGACCGUGUAUUGUGUAGAACAAGAUGAAGUACACUAUAGUUGAUGUUCCAAUUUGACGGCUGAAGUUCUAUGUCUUAAGUAUCACUUUAAUAUGUAUUAAUAAUUGGUACUUGUAUUUUCUAAUUACAGUUUGUAUGGAAGGAAUGAAUUAUUUAAACAAACUCAAUAAAUAUAAAUAAAAUUGUUAUUAGUCAAUUAACAGGUUUUUUUUUUUAAAGACCUUUUUGAGAAUAAGCUAUUAAAGAUCAUUUUUACAGAUUUUAUUUUUUAUUUAGAACAGUGAAAUUAAAAUUAAAACCAUUCCCACAGACACGAGUAAUUAUUAGUGGGAGUGGUUGGGUAGAUACGACUCUGAGGUUGUUUUUUCUCUCUUGGGUUCUGAAUUUGUUGACGUUGUAUAGAGUAAUAAUAUCAUAUCAUAUUUUUACAUUGACACAUAAUAUUUUGGGUAAAAUGGUUUAAAAGUGUAAAAUUUUGUAGUUUUUUAAGAAAGAAGAAAGUAAAAAGUAAAUAAAGAUAAUGUGAAAUAAAUGUAAAAAAUUUAGAUGUGUCAAAUAAUCAUUUUUCCGUUGUAUAAUAUCUUUAUAAUACAGUGUAAGAAUUGAACACAUGUUUUUGAUUGAGUAUAUUAAAUUGAUGGUUUAAACCUUUUUUUGGUCCCUAAGUUAAGUUCUGAUGUUCAGUUUAGUCUCCGCUUUUAAAAAUGUCAACCUUUAGUCCUUAUGAUAUGAAAAAUGUAUCAAAUCAAUCCUAUUCGUUAACAAAUGGCAAGUUUUUCAUUAAGUGAUUUGUUGUUCAUAACACCUUUCGUUCACAAAUCACAAAAUAUUGGAUACCUAGGUAUGAAAACUUAUGAUUUAUUGUUCAUUAAGUGUUGUCAUGAGGACUGAUUUGAUACAUUUUUCAUAUCAUAGGGAGUAAAGGUUGACAUUUGUUAAAGCGGAGACUAAACGGAGAGCAUCAGAAGUUAACUUAGGGACCAAAAAGUGUUUAAACCUAAAUUGAUAUACUAUAUUAGUGAGGCUAGAGAGGAAACACUGAAUACACAAAAAAUAGGUAAAUAACUGUACAUUUUGAGUCAAACACUUGCGGAAUGUUCAUUCUUUCAUUUAAACAAGUAAAAUUAUGAUAUAUUACACUCACUCUCAUCUAAGAUCAUAACUAAAAUCCUCAUCCACUUUAUUUUCAGCUCCUUCCAUUUUGGUCGCACUUGGGACCAGUUUUUAGGUAGUUGCCCUCAGCAUUUUCAUUUCGGAAAUUGAGUUAGAUCAGCAUUUAUACACUGUCAGAUGCUCUACCUCUAAAUCUUGAUUUGAGAAAACCUUUAUCUUACAAAAAAAAAAAAAGAUAAACUUUCACUGUGCUUGAAAUGCAAAUAUUUUCUUGUAUUGGAAAAAAACAUUAUAAACCAUGUGAAAAGUGAAGAUUUGCACAUGAAUAGGUUCUUGGUUUUUCACUGGACUCGUUUUGAACGCCUCAAGAGCCAUAAGAUGUCACUACCAUGCAGUGAUCUUCUGUGGCGUCCAACCUUCUGUGUACUCUGCAGAUACAAAAACAUGAACAGAUAAAAAAAUGCACAACUAUAGAACCCAAUUAAUUCUCACCAGGUAGAGUAUAAUGACACACUUACUUGGAAAUGGAAUUUAGGAUUUGGAACAUUCGAUAAGAAUGACAAACCAUCCUUAAUUGGUGCCACUAUUGUUUAAAGCAAGAAGAUGUUUAAGAACAAAAUGUUAGAGAUGAAACCCCAAAAUUAUAGAUUACGAUAUUUAAUACUAUUCUACAUAGUACCUACCCAUGGCCAAAUUAUUGUGGCUGUUAAGUGUGCCUGUGGUUGGCUUCAAAUUCUGAACUGGAGGCUUAUGGGUGUACAUAAAGAGUGGCAAAUCCUCGUAUGUCUCUGGUAAAUGUUUAUCAUCUAACUUCAAAGGAGCUUCACUUUCGGAAUCUCUUCAUUUGAUUGAUGAAAAAGUCACAUAUUAGCUAACAUAUAUUUCAGUUUCAAGUUAACUACUAAUGGAGAAGUAUUACUACCUUGUUGCUUUCUUACUGCUUGAUCUCUCAACAAGGGAAGGUGCUGCAGAUCAUAAAAAUCAAUACCAUAAGUGAAAAGAAUUUGUGAUGGUACAACAAUGUGAUUGAUUUGGAGUGAAGGAAAUAUUUGUUUUACAUGGUGAUAAAUAACGCGAAUGAAAUCUCAGCGAAUUCUCAUUCCAUUGCAUUUUUGAGAGGGCCAAUUUGCGAGCAUAUUGUUGACACGAGAGAAGUCUCUAUCAAGAAACAAAUACAAACUUGGUUAGAUGAUUUUAAAUAAGGGAUUAAUUUGUGUGAAGCAAUACUAACUUGUUGAAGGCAUUGGAUUCGUAACUCGGCUUCAGAAAAUGCAUUAGUGUGAGAAAUAAGGCCAUCGAGAUUGGAAGAUACGUUUCCAAGAUGAUCAAUAACAGUGACCAUGCUCUUGCAGAUGUACUCUUUUGUGUCGUCCACCACACUGCAACAUUUUCCAAUACCAGUUUGUCACACGUCAACAUAUGCACCAACCAAACAAACUAUAUUUAAUAUGAAUUAGAAAACACAAGCAACAUAGCAGGAACUACUAAACUGCUUUUAAUACGUAACCUCUUAAAACAGCAACUAAAUCAUCCCAACCAACCACAAUUAUUGGAAGUGAGAAUUGUAAUUCAUUUCCAUUUAUAUUUAUACACACAGUAUUUCAGUCUCUUACGAUUUGAGAUUUUGAGUACGUCACUCACUCCACAUUUAGACACAUCCUAAGUUUUUUCAAAGGUCUUGUACAAGUUUUUGAUUCUUCAGUUUCAAGCUUAUAUAUUCUUUCAAACACAUCUGAAUCCAUUUAGACACAAAAACAACUACAAAAGCUAGAUUUUAAUUUAAGACACAAUCAAACUGGCAAAAUAAAAGCUAACUCUAGGCUUAUAGCAUGGUGAGAUUAGAGCACUCACUCAUUAUUCUCUUCACUCUUAGAGAAAGCUGUUUCACAGUAUUCAGCUGCUUUGUGUAGUUGAGACCUUAGUUCCCGCAGCUCCUGCAAUGCAAACACCAUAUGCAUGUACUAAAGAUUGAACUUAAAAGUAUAACUAACAUAUAAAGUAUUGUUGAGUCUAGAUGUGAACCUGAAGAGACUUGUCAAAGCGCAUGGUUUCUUCUACCUCAGCAUCAGCUAUAGACCUGACAUUGAACUCCAUCAUAUUGCUACAAGCUUAAUGCUUGUAAACUUAGGAUCUAAUAUAAUGCUCACUUUUCUGAAUGAAGCUCAUCAAGUAAUUAUCAGAGGAUUUAUGUAAUCUGGCUUUUGGAGGCUUGUGAUAUGAUGAAGCAAACAAGGCUCCUAAAAAACAGAUUCUGCAGCCCAUGACCAGCCAGCACACACAUUAUAGAGCAUGAUGACAAAUAAACAGUUUCAGUCCCGUGAUAUUCUGUUUUUUUACCAUGAUGGGCAUCUAAUUAAUUAAAACAUCAAAGUAAUGACUCACAGUAUAGUGCAAUAACAGGCCCUACUGGGAUGUCAUUUCUUUAAAAAUUGGCAAUCAUGCAACAAACAGUGGCUUAUAAUUACUCAGUGAGAUUGUCAUCUUGAGUUUUCUGAUAAGAACAAGUCACUUACUCACGUAUAUGAUAUAUGUGGUUGCUAAUAAUAUUUAUAUUUAUAUUUUUAAAGGCACGUGACUUGUUGGAGGGCUUAUUUGGCUGGAGGCUUAAACAGCUUAGCACAUGCAGUGUUUCAUGUGACAUGUAUGUAUGUGUAGGAUGUAUAUCAUGUGCACUUUUGAUUAAAAUAAUCGUAAGUGCUUACGCAUAGUUAAAGCCUUUCACCUCACAUUCUUUUAGAACAAAAAGGAACCUGUUAGAUACACAAUCUUAUUUUAUUCGAUCAACCUUGUGAGAUUUAGAAUGAUCCCCUCUAAGGAAGCCUUAAUUGGGUGAGUUAUUAUUACAAAACAACGUAAAAAAUGGAAGAUUUGGGUGAAGAUGAGGAAGAAGGAAACAAAAUAACCAACCAUGAUACAGACACAUACGAAGUACCGGGUAGCAGGAUGGAAAAGGUGGUUUGGUAAAGCACAGAUUUUUGAACAUGUCACACCAGUCACAAAAGUAUUGAAGAUACAAAUUUAGUAACCAACUUGAUGACCUGCGACUUUUACUUGUAUUUUCAGUAUGGUAUGCAACAUGCAGAUGCCUUCUGCUGUUCAAAUUUGAUUUAAUUAUGAUUCGUUAACAUGACAUAGAACUGUUUAAUUGAAAUUUGCUGUUCUGUCCAUUAACUAUUAACUGUGGAUACGUGUGGACUGUCAUGUAGCAUUUUACAUCAAUUUUGUACCCUCCUUUACCAAACAUUGACACACGUUGUGUUUGUUUUUGGGUUGUUUAUAAUAAUAAAUAUUUGCUUAUAAAAAAAAAAGAAAAAAAAAAUUGAACCUAUGUGAUGACGGCCAAAUAAUCACGAAACAGUAUCUUGUCCCAUGUGUGAACAAUGCAGAAGUUAAUUCUAGAUAAUAAUUUAGAACUACAUAUCAUCCUUUGUAUUUCUCCCGGCAAUAUAAAACUAUAUUGGAGCUUCUCAUCAAAACCACUAUGAUAAUUUCUAGUGCAUAGCUCAAGAUAAUCAACACGACAAUGAAACUCUAUAUCUGAAAAUCAAUGGUACAACCACCAAUCGAUUCUGCAGCUUCAAUGUCAGACAAUAUAGAGUUAUUAUUAUCCGAGGAUACGGGUCCUAAAAAAUUAUCUCUAACACUUUUAUACAAUUCCUGAGACGUUUCCCUUUUUUCUUCGUGGUUGAAAAGAUUCUGACGUUGUGAUUCCUUUUCAGACGCAUUUCUAGUAGUUGAUCUUGCCCAUUCUCCUUUUUGCAAGUGUCUAGAGUCUAACGAAAGGGAAGAUAAUGAGGAGGGGAUUAGCAUAACAUUAAGUUGAUUAAAAAGAAAAACUUUAUAAUUGGCAAUAAAUAACGAUGGCAAACAUUGGAGCUGUAACAGACAUGUUUAUCAGGCUAAAUGACGAGGACUCAAAGAGUUAGAUCAUUUUAAUGGUGCUUGAGCUACACUUAGAUUUUUCAAGUUACUAAUAAUUAUGUUCGAAAAACCGAACUCCCUGUGCAAUGUAUAGCCUUUUAAAUUCUUUUCUUUUUCUUUUGAGGUAAUGAAAUGAAUUUUCUAUUUUUUAUUAGUUCAAUUCAAAAGCCUAUGCUAAUACUUAGUUAAUUGAGUGGAGAAGUGGCUCUACAUGUCAAAAGAAAAGUGAAUAACAAAAGGGACCUAGAUAAGUAUAUAUAGAAGAUCAUGAAUGUUACAUGAACCAUUGCAUACAGAAAGAACAAAUAAAUUCAAAUUAGUGUUUUCACCUCAAUGCAAUCUCUAAAAUGGAGAGGAUCAUAUAUUUAGCGAGUAACAAGUUCUUGCAUUUCCAACCCUAACCUUUGACAAUCUGAAAUCCCAAUGUUCAUCGUCACAGAAAACAAGCUAGCUGAGUUUAUAUCAGUCCAGAUGAACUUGGGUAGCAUAUGUUAUGAAGAGUUAAUAAAAGAAGCAUCAACGUAUUGAUUUAAAACACCUGUAGGGAAGUAUGAAUUUCUACUAUAUACCAUGUAUUUUGGUAAUGAAUUUGUUGCUGCUAAGUCUGCUUAAAAUUUUAUUUUUGACAAAUACUUUUUACUAGCAUAAAGAAUAUCCUUAAUUUCAUUGAAACAAGAGUAAUUAAUACAAUAUAAGUUGUAAAAGAAGCCACGUAAGUGCAAACCAGAUAGAGUCCUUAGUAAGUGCGCCAUCAAUUACCUUUAAAUGAUGUGGAAGAAUCUUUAGAAACCAUCUCUAGUUUAGCACGGGUAAUGCACAACCAUCUUCUUUCUGAUUCAUAAUCAAGUUCUGUUUCAAUUGGAAUAUGCC